CGAUCCGGAGGCUGGCCCGGAGGGGCGGCGUGAAGCGCAUCUCGGGGCUCAUCUACGAGGAGACCCGCGGCGUGCUCAAGAUCUUCCUCGAGAACGUCAUCCGCGACGCCGUCACCUACACCGAGCACGCCCGCCGCAAGACCGUCACCGCCAUGGACGUCGUCUACGCGCUCAAGCGCCAGGGCCGCACCCUGUACGGCUUCGGCGGCUGAAGAGCCGCGGCGCUGGCUGGCCCUGGCGCACAAGCCCUGGCUCGCGGUCAAGAAAUCGAAGGAGGAGAGAAAGCUGUAGUUGAUUUGGGUUCUGUGCCUUCCAUGCUUAGUACUAGUAGUAUCCUAUGCUUAGUAGUUUGCUUCCGUGUUCUGAACCUGAUGGGCAAAUACUGUGUUCGCCGAGUUAUAUGAUUCAGUUAACGAAUUGUUCUCUAGUUAUGAAUUAUGCUAAUGACGAUGCUAUUCUGUUUUACAACUCUUUGUGCUACCGCAUUUAGCUUGUUGCAAAUCCUGUGAUGCAAUUGUUUUCUGUCCGUCUUGUAUUUCUUUUCUGCAGCUGUUUGUCUGUUGAUUCGUGGCUGUCUUCUGCAGAUCCCGCAACUAAUUGUGUGAAUAUUUUCUGCAAACCUUCAUGUGUCAAGAUGAUGUCGCUGAGCCUAUAGGUUCUCAUCGUGCGUUGUAAUUUCCCUUCUUUUUUCCGAUAGUCCGUUUGGGAUGCACUGCAGAACGGUUAUCCUUUUCAUCUAAUUUUUUGGUCCUCUUCGCUGGUAACCUGGUUCUGUCCUGCCUGCGUCUCUGUGCAGACCUUAAUUUGUCGGUGUAAUAUGGCCACAACUUUGCGCCUCUUGCUUGUCAGCCCCUCCCAAAGUCAGUUUCGUUGAAUUUUCUGCCCUUUUUGAACAGCCUACUUGUGCUUGCUCCAGUACUGAUUGGCAAUCGACAUUGCCAUCGUGCUGCUCUAUGCGUUUAAUUUGUUGGGACUCAGGAGACGGCCUUCCAAAUCAAACGGACGGCAGAAGUAGUGGAGCGAUUUGGAAGCCUUUCAGUUUGAGGUUCCUAGCGAUGCGUUGAUGUUCCCGUGGGAUUCCUAAUUUCCUACUAGUUGAAAAAAGAGUUAUGGCUCCUUAAAAAAACGAAUCAAAAAGGUGUGUACCAGUGUUUUUGGAAUAUCCAUGAAAAAUGGUCUUAAUUUUUAAAAAAUGCACAAGAAUUUAAAUGUUCAGUAUUUUUAAAUAUUUUUUUAGUGGAAGUAUUUUUUUGAGCAGUUUAGUGGAAGUUUUUUUUUGAGACAAUAGUGGAAGUAUUUUAAAAGAAAUGGUUCGUAUAUUUGGCUAUCCAUAUAUUCUGUUUCGCGGGCCGUCUGACGGAACCGGUCCGGGUCCAGGCCCAUAUUCAUUGCCCACCUACCACACCACACCAAACCCACGACCCACGGCCCCUAAUAAAGCCGAGGGCCGAAGCCCACCCACCCACAAGUUUCUUCGCUGUCCCUCGCCGUCGUCGGCGCUUCCCCCUCCCGAUUCAUCGCCGACCCCCUCUCCUCUCCCCCCCUCCCGCAGCACUCGCCCGCUCACAGACACCAAUCCACUCCGCCGCCUCCCACACUCCUCUCCACCAAGCCACCGCCGGGCCAGAAGACUCUCCCCGGUGUCUCCUCGGCCAAUCGCCCCUCGCCGCCCCCCCACACGCCUCCCGUUCCUCGCGUGCCUCAUUUUCGCUUGGCGCGCGCGUCCUUUCGAUCCGGCUCUAUCCGUCCGUACCACCGGCGAAAUCGGGCGGCUCUGCUCUCUGCUGCGAGUAGCUAGGGUUUCAGCCGAGCUCCCGGGCUCCGGGGCGCCGGGGGAUGGCGGCUCAGGGAGGCGAGGCGGCUGCCGGAUCCGACCCCAAGCCCAACGAGGUAUGCUUGCGCCGCUCCUCGUCUCUCAGCAAUCCCGAGCUUGCCAGGCCUUUGCUUCCGCCCUGUUUUAACCUUUCCCGGGCUUGCACGCGAUUCGUUCUGUUUCCGUUAUGGCUUGAGAACUGAGAUGCAGAUUGGUUACUCAGUCGGCUAGGAUGCUAGUCGAUUCGCACUAUUAUAUAGCGUCCGCUUCUUUGCUUUGCUGUGGGAUAGUUAGGUCCAACCGAGGCACGUGGAUAGUUUGUUCUAGCUGCUGGAGCUUCUAUUUGAUAUCUAAUGUUUGCUAAUUUACUGCCUCAGAAGUGUAGGAAUUAUGACCAGCGUGACAACUGAUGAAUUAGCUGAUGUAGUGUAUUUUGUUUCUGUUCCUUUGCUCAUUCACCUAUAGAUGAUAUACCUUUCUUGUGAUUUAGCCCUCCUGGUAGUUAGUCAAUGUGGUAGUAUGUGUAAGUUAAGUCGUGAAGUACUCAGGGUGUCAAUCCUUGGGGGGCUUAGUAUUGGCUCUCAACUUGGAUGCUCAUGUUUGAUGAAUUGCCUAUAAUUGCUUGUGUUCUUGCAUGGCAAGCGAAUAUCUCUAACUGGAGCUGUCAUGGCGGAUGUAAUGUUUUGAAUGUACUGCUUCCUGGAAAUGUAUGGUGACCAUUUUUUGUUGUAACUGGUGUAUCCGGCACUAGUGGUAGCUUGUAAAUGGGUAUUACCUGGAUGUUAGUACUUCACCUCUCGGAGCAGGCAGUGGAGCAGGAUUAGGCUAGGGUCAGGAACUUGGCACUUGGGUGCCGUGGGGCACACGCUAGGGUCAGGAACUUGGCACUUGGGUGCCGUGGGGCACACGCUAGGGCUAGGGCUGAAACCAUAGGUGCUGGGAGUACUGGAGGAGGCUAGCGUUCUGGAGCAAAUAGAAGGUUUGAUUGAUGUGACUUGUGUAUGUUUCAUUAUCUAGAUGGUCUACCUUACAGUUACAGAUGGUAGACUCAAAACUGAAAAGGUUAGAAUUCCAAAUAGAACUCAAACUGCACCGUUAUGUAAUCCCCCCCUCAAUAAGAAUGGUCCUCAAGCCUGACAAUCUGAAAACCUGUUUUGAAUCUUCGAAGCAGGUUUGCCUUUUUCUUACCUUGUCGCAGUUCCUAGAUUUGUUGCGGCUGUAGCGUGUUGUGGCCGCAGACCCGCAACGCUUACAUGUAUCCACAAUGCUGGAAGAUAGGCUCAAAGAGCUAAGGAUGAAACCUCUCAUCCGUUGUCUUAUCAAUAUGCUAUAGGUAUCUGAGAGCCUGUGUUGUUAUUACCUAUGUCAAGGAGUAUUUGUAACUUGCUAACUGGUAUUGAUUGCUAAGAUCAGUGAUCUAUUGAUGAAACCCUGAGCUGUGUCCAUCUAGUUGCCCUGAUAUGGAUGGUGAUUUGGAUCCAGUGAUUCAAAAAUUUCCACAACCAGGAUGUGAGAAUUAAUGGUAUGCUGGUAUGUACAUUUGGAAAUAUAAAAUCAAUGGAUACCACAAUAGACUGAGAACGAGGUGGCGUCUAGACUCCAAGAAGUGGUAUUGAGAGGGAGUGAGUAGGGAUGACAAUAGGGUCCCAUUCUCCAAUCAAUGAUGGGGAUGUCCAUGUAAACCUAGAUUUACAAGGGGAUAAUUACUGUUCUGAAGAUAACCAGACGGCCCCGAAGCACUGGAGUGAUCCAGUAGCCGGGAAGGGGCCUAGAAGUGCCUACUAUAUACCAAACUACACUUGUCUCUACACAUUUACAGAGCGUACCCCUGUCCAGUGUCUGGCAGAAAGUUGGGAGCUUCAAUUGUUGACUCGUUAUCCCCAUCUCAGCCCAGGCUAACGGAGCCUGACUUAUUCAAGGGAGAGAAUGGAGCCUAUCGAUGCACCCUUGAGAGUAAGAUCCUUGGCUCAUGUUCCAGAGAUACCGUAACAAAAAGCUCCGCAGGGAUGCUAGGGUUUGGGUAGACAUAGGUUGUGAAGAGAGAAUUACUAGAGACAACAGACUGAUGUUUUUGCUUGCCUCCUUACAAUAGGGAUACAUCCCUUAUAUAGACAUUUGAGAAUAUGUCAUAAAAAAUAUACUGUUUGAAACCACUCUUUAGUAUGAAUUGGAUGGUACUACAAUUUUUGUGACACAUAACACACGUUUUCAGGGUCUAAUUGAUGGUCAAAGUUGAACCUCGAGAUAUGUGUGCGCCAUGUAGGGACAGAGGGAGUACCUAAUGCUAGGAUGGAUACACUAAGAUAAAACUCCUAGUUUGACACAAACUCUUCUUACAAACUCCCUUCUCUAUAGCUGUCUACAACACAUACACAGUAAGUAUGCAGUGGUAUAUAGAAUGCAGCAAAAAGAAAAAAACCCUGCCCCACUCGCUCGCACAGGUUCCCCCUUCCCUAUUUGCCGCGUACUCUAGUCAUUUCCUCCAUCAGUAUUGAGUACUGCAUCUUAUACCCGCAUGCCAACUUGAUGAAGUAUCAAGGCGACAUAGGUGACCACAUGGGCUUGGAUUAUAGGAUACCCUCAACGGCCUCAAGGCAUGUAUUUUGUGUGGCAUGAGGUCAUGGCUUUGGCUGUGAAGAUUUUAACAUUUGGGUUGUCCAUUUGUAAAGCAACUGAAUUUUUCUUAAUCUUAAGUCACAUUUUAAUUAUUAUUAUCCAUUGCAUCAACAUCCAAUCAUAUGGUUAGUGUCACAUCAGUCUCCAUGCAAACAUGAUUGCUACAAAAUGGACUCGAGGAAAAAAAGUGCAGCUUGUAAAUAGCAAAGUCUCUGAACACUUGUGCUGCAGUAGUUGUUAAGCAGUGUUGCUCGAACUGCAAUUUGCAGCCAGUUAAUGCUAUUGUUUUGUUAUUUCUGUGUACUAAGUAAUUGAUGUGGAGUGCCUCAUUGAUGCCAUUACUCACUUUUUUGCGAGGAAUUACUCAUUUGCUUUGUUACAUCAGCCAUUUAGAUCUCUCUCUCUGUGCAUAUUUUUCAUAAAAAUUGCCACAUUAGCAGGGAAUUCUGCCUUACAUAUGCAAAAAGGUGCAUCCUAUAAAUACAUUGGGCUUUGUUGUAUAACAUGCACUUGUCUGUUGAAAUAUGAAUAAGGAUAUAAUACCAUUUUCUUUCACAUGGUCAUGCAUUAUUGAUGAGGAUCACUUGCUACCCUGGCAAAUGGCUAAUGACUUUAUGGUUCCUUCCAGACUUCUACCACUGGAUUAAAUAAUAUCUUCACCCCAGUAAAGAAACCUGGCAGUAAUGGUCCGCUCACCUUGGGAUCAUAUGCCAACUGUCCGAUCUGCUAUUGAUGGCUGAGCUUGAGCUUUAUAUUGCUCACCGCCCAGUGGUGCCCACUGAAAUCUCUUUUGCAAAAACACCCUAUUCUUCCUUGAAGUUCAUGGGCAAACCAAGCAACAUCCCGAUUCAAUUAAAUAAUUAGUCUUGUAAACUUGUACUCCCGCCGUUCACAAAUAUGAGAUAUUCUAACUUUUUCCUGAAUCGGAUGUAUAUAGACAUGUUUUAGUGUGUUUGUUCACCCAUUUCAGUCCGUAUGUAGUCCAUAUUGAAAUAUCCAAAACAUCUUAUAUUUGUGAACAGAGGGAAUAGUAUAUACUCCUUACUAGUUCUUAGCAACGUACAGAUUCCUUACUAGUUUCUUCUGUUUUUUCAAAAUCGCUGCUGCCUAUAACCUAAUAUGAUUUGAUGUCUGGUAGGUGUCAGCUAGGUGGAACAGUGGUGCCUAGUGUGUAGCCUUCACCUUUUAGAACAGUGAUUGUAGGUUGGUGAUACAUGUUUUGCUCAUGAUCCAUAAUUAUGAGCUGACAAUAUGUUUGGUCUCACUUAAUGACAGGGCUGGAGUGUAGAGCAGACAAGUUCAUCUCAGUACCAACCUUCAGCAUCGGGUCAUCAUGCGUGGUCUUCUUCAAGUGGGGCUUCCUGGAACUAUUCAGUGGAUAAUACAAACCAAAAUGCAGUUUAUUACGAUCCACAAAGGGAUGUCUCAGUUUCAGGGGCUACUCAAAAUGUGACAAAUGGUGCACCUCAUGUGACUCAACCGGCUGUGGGCACAACUAAUGCAACCAAUACUUAUGCACCUUACUCAAAUUCUGUUCAACCUGCCUACAAUGCUGCACAAUAUCCAAACUAUUACCAUAACUAUCCACAACCUGCAAACGAUUCUUCUCUUCACCAAGGAGUAGAUCAAAGUUCAGGUGCUGCAUAUCAGCCUCUUACUUCAUUUCCGAAUUCAGGAUCUUACGUUGGUCCUACAAGUAACACAUAUUAUAAUGCUGGUGCUGAUCAGACUGCGCAAGCAUAUGCCACCAACAACUAUUAUUAUCAAAACCAGGCCUGGUCUGGAGGAAGUUCUGGAGAUGUUCACGCCCAAACAUAUCAGACUUAUGCUCCAUCAGAUACUAAUGCUGCCCAGAGUUCUUGUUCUCUGCCCACCACUUCUUUCCACUAUCCUCAACAGUACAACCAGUGGUCUAAUUAUUAUGACCAGUCUGCACCAAACUCCGGUGCUUUAGCAGUUGCUGGCAACAGUGCUUCUGAUACAAAAUCUCCUAGUGCCGGUUCUGGUUAUACAUAUCCGAGCACCCAGCCGCCUCCACCGGGUACUACCCAACGGAAAAAUGAUGCUGUUGCACCUACUGCACCUCCCCAGGUAUUAUUAUCAGUUCUGCUUUCUUAUUUUGAAGAAUUUAUGGAUUUGACCACAUUUUGCAUUACUUUUGUGUGCAACUCUGGAAUGGCCAUGUAGCUUGUCAUGGGUAAUGUUUUUUCUAAACAUAGCUUUGUGCAACUGCCUAUGGAAGUAUGGUUGAUAUAUUUCUAUACUACAUAUAUUUCAUUUUGUAGAUAUGAGCAUAUUUUUCUAUAGACUUGGUCAAACAUAGAGAAGUUUUACUUAGGACAAAGCUAGAGCUUCAAUUAAUUUGCAACAGAGAGAGUAUGUAACAGUGAAGCUACUUACUGCUUUCUAGUUACUUGAAACCUUGCAUUGGGUGACAGUGAAGCUACUUACUGCUUUCUAGUUACUUGAAACCUUGCAUUGGGUGACAAAUGAUGCGACAUUACUUCUAUACGCCAUAAAAGAUUACCGGAACCUGUGAUACGUCUUUCAUUUGACGGUUUUGUUGCAUGUGUUAAAUUUUAUGUGCAUCGAUGAUCAUGAUGAGAACUCUUCUUUUGGAAGGACAGUUUUUCAUGUAUUUCUUAUGCAAUAGCAUGCCUUUACCAUGUUUUGACUAGCAAUUUUUGUGGACAGGCGGUGGGAAUCACAGGGUUUCAAAGCCAGCACGUCAACCAGGCACCAGGUGCCCCAGGGUUUCAGAGCCAGCAUGUCAACCAGGCACCAGGUGCCCCAGGGUUUCAAAGCCAGCACGUCAACCAGGCACCAGGCGCCCCAGGGUUUCAAAGCCAACACGUCAACCCGGCACCAGGCGUGCAAGGAUUUCAAAGCCAGUAUGUCAACCUGUCACCAGACACUCCAGGAUUUCAAAGCCAGCAUGUCAAUCCGGCACCAGUCACACCAGGGUUUCAAAGCCAGCACUUGAACCAGGCACCAGGCAACCCAGGUUAUGAAAACCCCUAUGCUAACAAGACAGCUGCCGUCUCAGGGUUUCAGAACCAUUAUAUCAACCAGGCACCAGCUUACCAACAAAACUCUACAAGUCAUAGCCAGUUACCAUUAAGUAACCAACGAGAUCAACAGAAAGCUUUGCAUGCGCAAGGUCCAAGCUCAAAUGUUUAUUCAGUCAAUCAUGUUAAUGAAAACUCUCAACCAACUUUGCAGGGUUUUGCGAAAACAGUUGCCAGUGUAAAUAAAGUACACAUCCCGACAAAUCCUCGAAUAGCUCCAGGUUUCCCAAUGUCAAUGCCCCAAACCGGGAAGAAAUUAGAAGCUGAUUCAUCGCUAAAACCUGCUUAUGUUGGUGUUUCCAUGCCCAAGACUGACAUGAAUGCAGCUCAAGAUGGUCAUGGAGCUGCCGUUCAGGUGAGACUAUAUAUUCUAGUUACCCCGUUCUUUUUGUUGAGCAUCGAUGUCCGAUGGUGGUAUAAUUAUACAGCUAAGCCAAUGGAGUCCUUACUCCUCCAGGCACAUGAACCAACCCCCCGUGGAAAUGUGAACAUGGUAAAACUGAAAUGCUAGCGCAGACCAGUACAAUUAUUGAAGUAGGAUUUGUACACUACAGUCCAGAGCCCAGACCCCAAUAGAAGUGCCUAGAUUCAAACCUUUCAAGUUAAGACUUCGAUAAAAUAGCACACCUAUGUUUGUUAGUAUUGUAUAUCGGUGUUCAUACCAUUCUUGACAACUUUCCACUAACCAUCAUUCUAUUUUAUAUUAUUUUUGUGCUGUCCAGGGAUCAUUCCCUGUUUCACUUUGUACUUAUGUCGAGCGGAAUCUUUCCCGUUGCAAGGAUGAUGCCCAGAGAUCUGCCACCCAAAGCAUCAUGAAGGAGGUUCAGUAAUCCAUUUUUGUUCUUCUUUUUAUCACUGUCUUUGCUUCUGCUUUCCUGAGACCUUGGUUCAUGGGAUGUUUAAUAAAAUUUACAAAAUAGAACUUCAGUUUCUUUUGGUUGUUCCUUAUUAACUUGUAUUUUCCUUCCAUAUCCUUGUAAGUUUAAUAAGAGGUUGUUAACUUUCACAUUUUUCUCUUCCUAUAAUAUCAGAUGAUCACCAAGGCAACUGCUGAUGGGACCCUUCAUACUAAGAAUUGGGACAUUGAGCCGUUAUUAGCUUUGCCAGAAAAUGCUAAAGGCACAAAUAUGACAAGGUAACCUUUUCCUGUAUGGGGCGAUACUGCACUAACCAGCAAUCGUAUGCCAAUGACCAUCAUUCUUUUUAUGUAAAAAGGGCAAGGUGCUUUGCUUUGUCCAGCAUGGACGGAGUUUGAAUUUGAAUUCCACAUUUUCCCUCAACACUAAACUAAAAACUUGGUGAAAACCAACUCUUUGUUCGGCAUGAAUGGGAUGCCACAUUUUUCCUUAACAUUUAAACCUAAAAGUUUGGUGAAAACCAACAACGGAAAUAACUCUACCAGCAUCACGGGCAAUAAUUAAAGGGAAGCCCGGUGCAAGUAGCUCCCGCUUGUGCAGGGUCCGGGGAAGGGUCCGACCACUUUGGGUCUAUAGUACGCAGCCUUUCCCUACAUUUCUGCAAGAGGCUGUUUCCAGGACUCGAACCCGUGACCUCGUGGUCACAAGGCAACAACUUUACCGCUGCGCCAAGGCUCCCCUUCCUAGGGACUGUCGCAAAUAUAAGUAGAAACAAGUGGAGAAAUAAUAUAACUUACAUGACUUUGGAUUGCAAAUUCAACGUGAUAACAGAGUGUACGGGCUAUUUGCCAAUCUUAAGCAGCUCAGGUGUAUAAUUGGGUACCCAAAGAAAAGCAUUGCCACUUUUCGGGGUUGGUUCAGUGGAUUCUUUAUAGUCUGUUAUAUUGGUCUUGGGAGGGCUUAACUUCUUCCUGGAACUGGCAUACGGAAAAAGAUUGUGGGGAAGACUUCAGCUUUCAUUAUAAAAGACACUUAUGCUUCCCUGAGAAACGCCCGCCCCGAGCGUAGGGAGGACUUAAGAUUAUGGUAGUAAAGCUGACCCUCCCCCUUAGAGGGCCAAUCGGUUAACUAGUCUUGUUUUUUUAAUCCUUUGGCAGCAACGCAAAGGAUUCAAGUCCCUUCUCCUUUUCAACAUCUAGGAGGAGCCCGAGUAGACGUACGAAGAGUAGGUGGGAGCCUGUUGCAGAGGAAAAAGUAACUAACAAGGUGGAGGUUGUUUCGAAAGAGCCAGCAAAAAGUAAUGCCUGCACUACUUGGGAAAAUACUAGAAGAACGGUAAGCCCUCAGAUGGGUUAACAUUACAUAUAUGCCUUUCAUUCUGGAAAUUUUUAACUUGAAUACGACCAUCUCCCUAGGUUUGUUUUGUUUACUCAAAUUCUCUUCUUGGGCAAAUAAUUGGUUUUAUAUGUCACAGGGUAACACUUGGAAUCUUGGAAACUUUGUCCAGUCGCGUCAGCCUCCUACAAGCCAAUGGAAUCAGAGGCCCUCUAAAAAGCAGCGGAUUGGUGGUAAUGCGAAUCUAACAAAAAACGGGAAUGCUUCUAGUGACAGUGAUAAGGAGCAGGAUCUUACGAAAUAUUAUGCCAGUUCAAUUGCACUAACAAAUUCACCGGAGGAGAAGAAGCGACGAGAGCAUAGAUCUAAGCGAUUUGAACGUGGUCAGGGUGCAUCAUCAAAAUCUACGAGUUCCAUACCAUAUAAGGAUGGAGCAGCCAAUGUAUACACAAGGGGAGCCAUUUCAAUGCUUAACAAUAGAAGUAAUGGAGAUGGUGCUAGCUUGGCGGUGGAGGACAUCGACUGGGAUGCACUUACAAUUAAGGGAACAUGUCAGGAAAUUGAGAAACGAUAUCUACGCCUUACAUCCGCACCUGAUCCAGCCACUGUAAGGAUGCUUUGCUAUUUUUUUUGUACACUGUAGGCUUGGAAAACAUAUUGUUGAUACAAAAAUUAAAUUUAGAGAUAAAUUAUGCCUUGUUGCUGUUUUCUUGCUUUAGCUUUCUCAUCACAUCUUUUGCAGGUAAGGCCAGAAGAUGUCUUAGAGAAAGCUCUUCACAUGGUUGAAACAUCUGAAAAGAAUUACCUCUAUAAAUGUGAUCAAUUGAAAUCUAUCAGGCAAGACCUUACUGUUCAGAGGAUUCAGAACGAGCUGACUGUCAAGGUAUUCCUUGAUAAUAACCUCUCAUUGUGGUAUACUGCAUUUUAGUAUCAAUCUUCAGAUGUACUCCCUCCGUUCCUAAAUAUUUGUCUUUCUAGACAUUUCAAAUGACUACUACAUACGGAUGUAUGUAGACAUAUUUUAGAGUGUAGAUUCACUCAUUUUGCUCCGUAUGUAGUCACUUGUUGAAAUGCCUAGAAAGACAAGUAUUUAGGAACGGAGGGAGUAUUACACUGUUUUUCAUGGGGGCAUCAAUCUGCUUUGUCCAAAACUAUUUAUUUUUUCCUUCUGUAUUAAUUGUUUCAUUCCUGUUUCAGGUUUAUGAAACUCAUGCACGCUUAGCACUUCAAGCUGGAGAUUUGUCCGAAUAUAAUCAGGUUUGCUUAACUUGUUCUGAUUCAUCUUAGUGCUGAAACAAGUAAAGCAAUCUUAUUUCGUGUUCUAGUUUCCGAAUAGAAUAAAGAAGAAAAAAUGGGUCACUGAUGAUGAUAUUUUUAAUAGCAGCACGAGGCUGGGGGGACUUUAAGUCUCCUCCCUGGUGGAACAUCCUUCGGAAUCCUUGCGCAAAUUUCCUUUGGAAUCCUUGCGCAAAUUUCCUUUGGAAUCCUCCCCUCGUCGUUAGCUUCCAUUUAAGCCGAUGCGAGUUCUUUUACAAAAACAUAUAGCCUUAUUUGCAAUUUGUUAUAGUAAUGUAGGGUAUUGUCUUUACUUUCUUCUGAAACCAGUAGCUGUAUUCUUACUUGAUAGUAAUUUGUAUUGAUGAUCCAGUUGCCUGAAAGAGAACGAAAUCAACAGCCUAGUCUCUUUAAUUAUUAUUUUUUGCAACACUUGGCAGUGUCAAUCACAGCUGACGAGGUUAUACGGUGAAGGAAUCGCUGGCUGUCAUCUUGAGUUCUCCGCUUACAACUUGUUGUGUGUCAUGUUACACUCUAAUAACAAAAGAGACUUGCUUUCAUCCAUGGCAAGGUAUAUAUAUUGAAUAAUAAGUGCAUAUACAAAAUGGUUAUUCCGUUGCUACACUAGCCAUAUUUGAUGCAUCUGUUAUCCUCAGCUUGUCAAAGGAGGCCAGGCUAGACGAAACAGUCAAGCAUGCGCUUGCAGUUCAUUCUGCUGUUUCAUCUGGAAACUAUGUCAUGUUCUUUAAAUUAUACAAGAAGGCACCUGGCUUGAACUCAUGUCUUAUGGGUAAAGAUGAUAUUUCUUUUACUUGACAUUCUUUUGUCAAUUUUGAUAUUAACUUUUCUGUUAAGAUGAUGCUUGGCUACUUACGCUAUUUGCUUUGCAGACCUCUAUGUUGAGCGGAUGCGUUUUGAGGCAAUAAAAUGCAUGUCAAAAUCUUAUCGGCCAACUGUACCUGUGAGAUAUGUUACACGAGUUUUGGGAUUCACAAGAGUUGACGUACUUUGUGAGGCUAACGUAGCUGAUGGUUUAGAAGAAUGUGAGGAAUGGUUAAAAGCACAUGGUGCCGUUCUUGCAGUAGAUGAAAAUAGCGGAGAAUUACAGAUAGACACAAAGGUAAACCUUGCACUCGGUUUAUGUAGUGUGUUUGUGGUAUCUUAUGGUCUUUGAAACAUUAUGCUAUUUCUUUAUGCUUGACAGGUUUCUUCUGCUUCUCUAUACAUGCCGGAGCCUGAUAAUGCUGUUUCACAUGGUGAUGCAUCUCUUGCCGUAGAUGAUUUUUUGGCGCGAGCAUCAUAAAGAAUGUCAUGGUGAUUGGGUGAGCAACUUUUACCCUUUUGGCACCGAGCUUUGAUGCACUGCGAUAUUACAUAUUGCCAAUGCCAGUAGAGGAACACUAUAUUAAUGCAGGACAUGCACAUGAAAUUGACCGCGGAUGAAGGGUAUUGCAACUAAUUGGCUUCACAAACAGAUGCAGCAUGUGAGUAGGCGACAUUUUGGUAGCCUCACAAUGUGCUCUAGUGCCGUUGGAUCCACUGGCAAGUUCUGAUAAGCGACUAAUCUCCAGCUCUGUGAGUCCCGUAUCACAAUCAGAAGUAUGGGCAGCACUAACAGAUAUGAAUCACCCGGUAAAAUUUAUAUAUAGGUCCGAGCAUUGAGCAUUGCCUUUGUACCGCCUGUUUUUGUCAUAACCCAGUUCAGUGUAUUGUACAAUUUUUGUUCACAAUAGGUGUUGCCCGAUGUCAGUUUUUGUCAAAUUCGACAAUACUGAUGUUCUGAAAUUUUGUUCCCUCAUUUUCCUCAGGAGAAGUCAUGUUUCUCAGGGUUAGAGCUUGUGGUAAGAGUGACUAAUGUUUCAUUUUCUGUUACCAUGUAGUGGACCGUUGUAAACUGCAGAACAAUGGAUAUGAUAUGCAAGUGUUUUUGUUGUCUCGUUCAGAGUUGGAUGAUUCUGCAUCAUAUAGUACUACUGUAUGUCUGGCCCAGCCGUUAUUGGUACAUGGUCCAACUAUUUUGUGUGUUUAUGCGGCACAUGGCCUGCACUACUAACAAUGUGUUGGGGAUAUUACUACCACUAUGACCCGCCCAGGAGGGGCCGGAUCAACCCUAAUGGCGGGUUACAUAUAGAAGGCCCAAAGGCCUGGGGCCGGCUUAAGGCCCGAUAUUGUAAAGCGCCGUAUGUAAGUAAAGACUUAUAAAGAAAGUCAUGUAAAGGAAGUCACCGAGCUUGACACGGUUAUGAGCUGGCCGGGACUCUGUAGGCCAUCAGGCGUCAACCCAUGUAUAUAAGGGGAUGACUCGGUGGCGGCUUAGGGCAAGAAACAACCAAAUCGAUAACCAAGCCGGCGAGUUGAGCCCCUUGGAGAUCAAAAUUUCAGCAAUACCAAUCCCAACUAGACGUAUGCUUUUACCUUCAUCGUAAGGGGCCGAACUAAUAUAAAAACUUGUGUGUCCCUUGUCCCGAUUAACCCCUUUAAGCUUCCUAGUGCGAUGGCCAUGCGACUAAGUCUUUGCUCUAGGACAUCUGCCGUGUCAACUCCACGGCAGUUGGUGCCCACUAUGGGGCUAGCGCACGGUGGAUUUGAGGUCUUGAAGGGCAACUUCGAAGGGUUCAAGGGAUACACUGUGGGCCGGAUGACCAAGAGUCGUCGCGGCAAGCUCUACAUCGACGAUGAAGGCUGGGGCCUCGAGGCCGGCUCAAUCGAGUACGGGUACUGGGUCCCCUUCGGCGGAAUUCACGUCUUCAUCGGCCGGAUUGGCGAGUCAGGCCCUGAGCCGGAUGUCCACGCCAACCUCAUCGAAACGGCUCAGCGCGCCAGGACCGCCCGUGUUCAAUCUGUCGUGAAACAUGUCUUCAUAGGCUGCAUCCAUGGCGGUGAAUACUCCGAAGGACUGAUGGAAGGCGGGGAGACGGCCAUCUGCUCUGAUACUGCAUCAUCAACAGGUGAGACGGACUCGUUGUACCAGCUGCAAGACGGCAUGCCCGGGGGCUGUUCCGAUGGCAGCAGUAUUCGGACCCCCUUGAGCCACCGAAUUGGGCCGGAGUCUUCAUGGCGGGGACGCAGCCCGGGCAGAAUUCUACCGCAUCGACAGCAGCAGCUACCGGGUCGGCAGCAGCCGGGCCAGGAGACCCCGCGCGCCCCCCAGCUCAGAUUCUAAUGGACCUCAUGGAUCGGCUGACGACUCUGUUAACCGCUGCGGUAGAGCCGGCGGAUAAAGCUCAGCACGACGCAGAAGUGGCACGCGUGCGGGAGGAGAUGGUGCAAGCUAAAUAAAAUCUAGCCACGGAGGAAACCCGGAUGGCAGCAGAACGAGCAGCUCUGGACGCUCGUGCUCAGCAACUUCAAGUAGAAACUUCCGGCUCUCGGUGAAUCUUAACGCAUCAAACGAGGUCAUGAGGAGGAGGCAUCAGAAAACUCAGUCGCGUCUGCCUCUAACGUUGGAUCCAAGGAACCUGUUCCAUACACCUGGGGCUGGGGGGAGCCACCCGCCAGAGGCAAACCGGGUCACAACACCCGAUGCACCAGUUCAGCCACGCGCCAUGGAGCCACCUCGUGUAAAUACAACUCCUCCUCGUUAUGUGUCAACACCUCCGGGUCACUUCUUCAACCCCCUGGAAAACCUCAUCGCAGCGUCGGCUCGUUUGGCUUAGGGCAGUCAAAGCUCCGGCUCGCGCGCAGGAGCGUUUUACUUCUUGGAACCUGGCAGGAAGGAUGGACAGCUUCUUCAGGACGUCGCUGAGCCGGUUAGGUUCUUGAUUAGCAGGAGAGAUGGCAGCCAGAGCCCGUUGUGCGCCGAUAUACAAUCGUUCAACUAAAGUGUAUACUGCCUUCAGCUUAAUCAACGGGUCUUGGCUCAGAUUCUUACUUCGCGGACCUGCAUAUAUUUUUAACAGAGUCAGUUGGCGGAUUAUACUUCGGUUUGGCAAAAAAUAUACGAAAGGUCAAAUCAGGCAGCUUACCAAAGAUAGCAACAACCAUCUGAGACACCCGCCCCUUUAAACCGUUCAGCUCUGUUGAAAUUUCUUUCAGAGCUGUUUUGGCUGUCUCAGCUCGUCGGGUCAGAAGUGUUUUCUCAUUUUCCCAAGUCUUCUCCUUGGCAGCAAAGCUGGUCUUCAAAUUUUCCGUUGCAGAAAGGCUUAUUUGUAGUUUGGAGGUGGACGAUUUGAUUUCUGACUCCUGACUCGCUAGUCGGGUCUUUGCGUCAGUCAAUUGAGAGUUCAAUUCAGACAAGGCAUUCUAUGAAACGUUCAGAUAAGUCAAGACUUAGUUUCAAAUUCGAAUAUCCAAAUUCAAGAUUGAAGUCUCAAGUACUUUACGAAUAAACCACUUGACACUUGGGGGCUAAUGUAUGCCAAAUCAAAUUUUUACGACUCUACAAAUAUAUUUAAAGUCCCAAGUCCCUUACAAAGUAACAACACUUGGCACUUGGGGGCUAAUGUAUGCAGUUCAGCAAGUUUAGCAAGGUUAAGCCGGAGUGUUAAGUACUUUGAAGACGGUUUUAAAUUCUAAAGUACCGAUUCAUUAAUGAUCAAAAUGAACCGGUCCUUGGGGACUAUAGGUGAAGUUCUGUUCUAUCAAUAUCAGGCAAAGAUUCAGAGGUAAAAGUCUCGGCCUAUAUUUUAAGUCUACAGGUUAUUUCGUUUCUCUCAUAAUCUGAAGACUUGGGGGCUGAAGGAAUAUUAGUAAACCGGAAACAACGUACCUCAUACUUCAACUGAAGCUGCUUGACCAUCUCGAUCUCAGACUCACGACCGGAGUGUACAUGACUGAGAUAGCCGGAUAAGAUAUCACUGGCAUUGAGACGGUCAUAGUUGGCAACAUCAAAGCAAACCUUCUGCCUCUUCAAUGCUUCUUGCUUUGCUGUGCACCGAGCCAGCGCCGUUGGGUUCCCCGGCUCAACAAAGCGGCUCCCAGUAAUUUGAACAUCUUGAGCAGGUGGAGACGGCGGGUCGGUUGAGCUUGACGGUCUAGCUGUAGAAGGAUCCAUAAUGGCUUCGUCAAAAGUCGGCUCAGGAGGAUUUGCCUCAUUGUCAAUAGGCGGGUGUUCUGGAGCGUUAGCCAAUGGAGAAGGCGGCCUAGCCGGUUCAGAUGCUAGCACUGGCGGGUCUUCCGCCGGUUUAGCCGCCUUCGUCUUCUUGGAUUUAGCCUGGCCACUAAGGAAAAAUAUUGCAGGAUUGUCAGCAUAAAGAUACAAUUGAGCAAACCCGGAAGAAAGAAGGAUUUUUGAUUACCCAGGAGCAGUCUUGAAAGCCGGAAAUUGUGUUUGUGAUGAGUCGCCUGAAGAACGAGACACCUCCUGAAAGGAUAAGAGAAAAGAGUUAAAAGAAAUACAAGGAGCAGGAUUCAUUAAAACGAGUUAAAGACAACAAUAAGUAAACCUCGUUCGGGCGUUUCCGAGAGGUCUGUUGAAGGACGACAGCCGGUUCAUCUUCAAUCCCAACUUCACGGUGGCUUUCAUGUUGCUGCUUUUUCAAAUGAAAGUUGGGAUCCAAGUGAGCUAAGGGGUUAGAAAACCUUACUUUACGGAUCACUCGUCGAACUUUGUGUCUUGGUAAGGGCUCUGAGUCGGAGGAAAUGAUAGUUAUCUCUGCUUCCCCGGCCUGACUGGCCCCAAUGUCAUCCUGGUAAGGAUCAGUGUCAAUAAGAUUGUUAAAAAAUUGGCCAAGGGAAUCAAGGGCUACCUCCGAGUCAGACGUGUCAUCAAGUUUCAUUAAAUCUUCAGCAGUGGUCUUCUUUUUCUUCUUCGAUCUCCGGGUCGAUUUCUUGGCGUUCAUGGUGGCGAGUUUCGCCUUCUUGGCAGCUUCGUGAUCAUAUUUCACUUUCCAAAAGUCAGAAUCGGCCUACAAAGACAAGAGGAAGGAUCAGUGAUAAACAAUGCGGCUGGACAAAAUACAAAGGAAAAAAGAUCAGAAUAUCCUUACUUCUGGUACCGGGUUAAGUUUACAGAAGGGAUUUAACCUAACAAUACUGCAAUCUUCAUACUUCCCAUUCACCAGAAGGUUUAACAUUGAGACAAUGUCUUCCUCGGUUAGUUGAACCGGGGUAUGACGGAGAGAGUCGUCCGGGCCUCCACCAUAUUCAUACAUCAAUUUUGAACGACGACUUAAUGGAAUAACCCGCCAUGAGAUCCAGCAGCGGGUUAGAUCGACUCCGGUUAAACCGUUCCCCAACAAAGCGUUGAUUCUUCUGAUAGAUGGAAGCAGCUUCUUGCGUUCAGCAACGGUAAGUUUAUCUGGCAGUGCGAACUUGGAGUCAAGACGAUCGGGGCGGUAACCCGAUAGUGGCUUCUCAUUGGCGGGUGAGAUGUCCUGACAGUAAACCAAGUUUGGUUCCAGUCCUUUGGGUGACUUGGUAAAACUAUGAGAGGGAAGACAGCACCCUGCCGGCGCUGAAUUGAGAUGCCUCCAAGCUCUAAGCUAAGGCUGUUGGUGCACUCGCUCUGCCGGUUCAGAUAGAAGUAUUCUCUAAAUAGCUCCACAGUCGGCUCUUGCUGAAGAUAUACCUCACAGAGCACUUGGAAGUUACAAAUAUUGGAUAUGGAAUUGGGCCCAAUAUCCUGAGGAUGGAGUUUGAAAAAGUGAAGAACUUCUCUGAAAAACUUUGAACCGGGCGGUGAGAAGCCACAAUUCAUGUGGUCAGUAAAGACGAUCACUUCGCCGUCUUUUGGAUUGGGUCGUUCUUCUUCCGGGUCAGGAGCACGAUAAGACAUGAUGCUUUUUGAGGGCACAAACCCAAUAAGGAAGAACUCUUUUAAACGAUCCUCAGUUAUGGUUGAGGGGACCCAAUUACAGAUGGUGGGUGUCUUUGACGGCAUGAUGUGCAAGGAACUGAAAAAGAAAUAACAACAUGCCGGUUCAGUUUACGGUCAGGAUAACAGUUAAAGGCUGAAGAUGUAAAACAAGUAAUAGCGGCUUAACUAAGGGCUAAUGACAUAUAAGGAAAAGAAAGCCAAAGAGGUAAGCCGCCAUGACUACAAAUUUUUUCAGAAAGCAGAUUCAGCUAAGUAUUGGCAUAAACAAGUUUUACCAAGCUGUCAUUAUUAUUUUGGAUCAAAUGGCCGUUCUGAAAAGAAAAAUAUUCUAGACCUAAAAAUCUAGUACAGAUGAGUUCGUCAGCUAUAACGAAGCAUCUAUACAGGAAAAGGGAUCUACUGCUAUCAAAAAUGGACGCAAAACAACUACCGCGCAAGUUAUAUCUCCUCUUUGGAUCAAGAGAGGCUGCGGAGGAAGAACUACCAAAAAGGUUCAUGAAGAACGGUGAAAAACACCGAUGAACUCGCAAGCCCUAAUGCAGAUCUAAAAAGUUUGAGAAGGCAAGACUUACGGAUGCGGAUUCGCUGCGGAGGGUCAUUGUCGUUUAUCUGGACAGUUAAGGGUGAUGCAGCGGUUAAGCUCGAGGACGACGAUGAGCGUUGCGGCGGCGGCGAGCCUAUUUAUAAGGGCAGAUGUGAACAGACGGGCGCGAAAAUCAAGGGAGAACCAAAUAAUGGUUAUCCAGCUAUAUAGACGCCUCGAUUCUCGGGAAGCAUUAAAGAUAAAAGGUCCGUUGGAAGAUGACGCCAUGAAAGUUUUUUGUGUUUUCCAAAGAUGACAUCACGGCGGGUUACAGAGUUUUUCAGACAGAGGAUGGAUUUCAUCUAAAUAUUGAAGAUUGACAAAGAACAAAGUUCAAAGUCAACCUGGGGCCUAAUGUUGGGGAUAUUACUACCAGUAUGACCCGCUCAGGAGGGGCCGGGUCAACCCUAAUGGAGGGUUACAUAAGAAGCCCAAUAUACAUUCAAGAUGAUAGUUUAUUAAACAUAUAGAAGGCCCAAAGGCCCGGGGCCGGCUUAAGGCCCGAUAUUGUAAACCGCCGUAUGUAAGGAAAGACUUGUAAAGAAAGGCAUGUAAAGGAAGUCACCGAGCCGGACACGGUUAUGAGCCGGCCGGGACUCUGUAGGCCACCAGGCGUCAACCCAUGUAUAUAAGUGUAACAUCCCAAAUUUUCAAUUUCGAAUGUUAUACAUUAGAUCAUCUAUGCAUAUCAUAUUUUAAUUUUUGCAUUUUGGUAGAUUAUAGAAAUUCUAUGCAACUCAAGGACCCACGGAGAGAGUUGGGGAUUUCGUUAUUUUCAUAUUUGAGUUUUCUCAAAUUUUGAGAAUAGGAUCAUUUGAUUUUGUUAUAUUAUCGUCAAUUAUUUCUAUUACAAAAAUAUGAGAGAGGGAAUAAAAUGACUUUCCCAAAAUAAAUAAAUAUUGAGGAUUUAACAAUAAAAUCAAAUAAGAUUUUAUUUCGGAGUUUUUCGUUAUUUUAUUUGAAUUUAGGAAAAAUGUGCGUUUUUCAAAAUUUCAUUUAGGCCCCAAAUAAAUGUUCACCUUGUGCGGCUUGAUUUUAGAAGCCCGGAAAAAUUUAUUUCGGGAUUUUUGGAGUUCGUUUAGUAUUUCUUUUUAUUUUUCUUCUGCGCGUAAUUAUUAAAAAAAACAAACCGACCUAGGGGCCGUGUCCGACCCGGACUCCCGGCCCGCUAGGCUUUAUAAGCCGGGGGGGAGGGGGAGCCCAGCCAACCUCAGCCCACGCCCCUCGAACCCUAGCCAGCGCAGCCCCGCCGCCGCCGCCGCCUCAUGCCGCCCGAGGUGCGCCUCGGUAUCCGUGCCGGUUAUUUUUUUUCGAAAAACCGUCCGAUUUUUCCAUCGGUUUUUUAGAUUCGUUUUUUUAAUAGAUCGGUUUUUCCGAUUUAUUUAUUUAGCGAGCGUUCGUCCGUUCGUUCGUUCUAGUGAACGUUCGUCGUUUUUCUUUCUUUUCGGAUUUAAUCCGCGAUUUUUCUGAUCGCGAUUCUUGAUCCGAUUUUCUUUUUAGUAUAAAUUUUCACUCGUUUAUCGGAAUCAGGCGAUUCAAGUGCCUGGAGUUUCGUCUCGAAACCCUCUAUCCGUUUAACCAACUUAAACAAGUUUUUGCUAUUGUAAAAUUUGCCUUAGAUCCAGAUUAGUAGAACGAAGUUGUUUUCUUUCGCCGUUUGACUUUCGUUGCUUCGUUCGAUUUGAUUCUUUUUGCAAACCGGAGUUCUUAAGUUGAACCUUCUGGUUAGAUCUCUUAUUUGACUUUUACCUGUGCAUUAGAUAAGUACUUAUUGUAUGCUUGUUUGUUUGUCUGCGAUAGAAUACCUGGAGUGCGCCGUCUGUUACUUCGAAUUGUUAGGUUUCCCGGAUCAUUAGCAAGGCAAGUAACACUUUGAUCAUACCUUUUCUACUACCUAGUUUUAUUGCAUUAGAUCAAUCCUCACACAUUGCAUGAUUAGGAUCUAAUUAAAUUGUGGGAUGGGAAGUAGUUGAGGUAGUACCUAUUACCUGUUUACUUACAAACCUUUGGGAGUUACUUCUACGUUUGCUUAUUAUGCCAUGCUAUGCUAGUAGACGUGGAUUGGGUGAGUGAUAUCCAUGACAGAUGUGAGUUUGUUAAUUAAUGGUUUAUCUAAGGUGGCAACUUAAACACACAUCUGGGUGGAUUGAGGCAUCUGGGUAUUCCAGGACUUGCCUGUUUUCUUUUGGACCGCCACCCAGGCUCAAAGUGAUCAUGAGACUAUUCAUACUAGAAACUUCCGUGUGCAGCCACAAGCUAUUAUGGGCUCUAGCAUAGUUGAUUAAGUCAUGCGAACUCUUACAGGGUAGACUAGCAGAUGUAGGGGAAAGUAGGUGUAACGGUCUAUCCAUCGUAAGGUGCUAGCACUUCUGAAAGACUAUGUCUCGGUCAUCUGUCUUCUCAAACACCAUGUAGUGCGAGAAACCAAACAGAGGCGAUCGAGUCUUGUGGGGAAAAGUGCGCAAACCUAUGCAGAGUGUAAUAAACUAAUCAUGGUUAGCCGUGUCCCCGGUUAUGGACAAUCUUGAGUAUCUAGUACUUGGAUUAUCAUGUGAAUCUCAACAUGUUACCCUAAAUUAAUUUUGUUGGGCUUUGUUAAUGAUAUUUUUAAUUGGGAUUGAGAAUGCUGUCAACCAUUCUCAAUGUUUAACAACUACCAUGAUAGUUAAAUAAAAUUUAUUCCUUUGCAGUAGGGAAAAAUUGGCUUUACGCAAAACUAUAACCGUAGAGCUUUCCACCAGCCAAGUAUGCAUAUAGUAUAGUUGUUUCAUUUCAUUACUCUCUAUGUGCUACCUUGCCAGCAUAUUCCAUGUGCUGACCCGUUUCGGGCUGCAACGUUAAUGUUGUAGACUUUUUAGACGACGAUUAAGGAGUUUUUAGGUCGUGGUUCUAUACUCAGUGAUGCCGUUGGAGUUGAUGGACUCACUUAUCUUCCAAGCCUUCCGCUGUUAUCGUUAUUAGAUGGCCUUAAGCCAUAUUUAUUGUAAUAAGUGUGUGAUUGCUACUCUGUUAUAAAUCCUCCGAGUACUGUGUGCUGUCAGCAUUACUGAUCCAGAGAUGACACCGGAGCACAGAGAUCAGACUAUUUGAGGUCUGGUCACUACAGAGAUGGUAUCAGAGCACACGCUGACUGUAGGACACGACCACUAAGCUAAAGACCUAGAUCACUGCUCACUCUCUUCUCUUCUGACUCCUCAUCUUUUCUACUCUUUUAGGAUGGCGGAUGCAAGGAACAAGUUCACGCAACCGGAUGAACAUACACCCUUUGGACGUCACUUGAAGGAAGUCACUAGAUACCUGAACAUAGGAGUACCAAGCUUCACCGGAACCUACAACGCCACUUUACCUGAAGAAGAGCGCUGGAUGAUUCAAGUUCAAGUUCCAGGAAGGACGUUCAUGCUAGUCACUGAGCCCAUAGAGUUUUCUUUUGAUGCACCAACUUGGAGUCUAGGAAAGAGCAUGGCAGCUCACAUCGCCAUGGAACGCAUUGGAGAAGUCUACCGCAAUGAUCUCAAGGAUACUAUCUACCAGAUUUGUGGGCGCCGAGAUGAGCACUGGGAGAUGAUCAACACCAGAAAGGAUAGAUCAAUUGCAGCUUUUAUCCAGGAGUUAAAUCAGCACAUUCGAUGACAGGAAAACCAGAUGUGCGCCGACAUGAUAGAUCUGAAGAAGGCUAAGACAAGAAUCAAGGAGCUGGAGGAAGAACUCAAGGCUACACGUGAAGAUUAUGAAGAGGAAAUUGAAGUAUUGGUGGAUAAGAAUGCCGACCUAACUAUGAAGCUAGCAGUAUUUAUGGGAGACCCUACACCAGUAGAUGAAGACGAAGAACCCACUGGAAGACUACAUCAUCAUCGACGACACAGACUCGGACCCAGACGAAAGCAAUGAUGACUAUCUUGAUGAAGCUGGAGCAGAUAUCAUGGAGUCUGCAACCGAAGAAUAUUUCUAGUAGACCACCUCAUCAGUAGUAGUAGUCCACCAUGUAAAUAUAGUAGUCCGAGCACUUUUGCGAUAGUUAGAUCGAUUGUAUGCCCUUGUUUGAUUGAAUGAAGUGAAUUGUUUGCUUUUGCCUCAUGUGCAUAUGGGUAGUGUUUUCUCUUUAGACCCCCUCUAUUCUUACAUCUCAUCUUUUCUAAACCCUCAGAUGCCUCCGAGACGUGACCCCGAAUUUACCUUUCCACCGAAGCUCACCCAGUUGAUCCAGCAACAGAACACUUUGAUGCAGUUGCUAGUCUAGAAUCAGAAUCAGGGGAACAACAACAACAACCCACCACCACCACCACCUGUUGAUCACUUAGCCCAUUUUCUUAGGCUGAAUCCGCCGGUGUUUUCCAGUAGCACCGAGCCGAUAGUGGUAGACGAUUGGCUCCGCAAGACAGCUAGAGAGUUGACCACAGCAGGAUGCACAGAUGCGGAGAAGGUGAAGUUUGCCGCACAUCAGCUUAAAGGACCCGCAUCAUCAUGGUGGGAGAAUUUCACAGCCACUUUCCCUGUCGACACUGUCACAUGGGACCAGUUUCAGCAGGCUUUUCGUACUACCCAUGUUUCAGCAGGAGCUAUGGCCAUGAAGAAGCGUGAGUUUCGCAACUUGCGCCAAGGAGGAAGGACAGUUGGCCAGCAUGUGGAGGACUUUAGUAAGUUAGCACGUUAUGCCCCAGAUGACGUUGCUAUGGAUGCAGCUAAGCAGGAGAAGUUUCUGGAAGGAUUGAAUGAUGAGUUGAGCAUGCAGUUGAUGGUAGCAACCUUCAACAACUACCAGGAGUUGGUAGACCAUGCUCUUAUGAUUGAAGGCAAGCAGCAGCAAAUUGAGAAUCGCAAGAGGAAGUAUGGACAAGGGAAGUACAAUUCUGGAGCUCAGCAAAAGCCACGUUUUACCCCUAGACCGGGAGGACAUUUUCAGCAUACCCAUGGGGGAGGUAGCUCGCACAAUCACAAUGGCACCAGGAAUGGUAAUGGGAAUGGAGGAAGCAAUGGCCAGAAUCGCACCAACCCAUCAACCCCAGCCAAGAAGGACCUGAGCCAAGUCACUUGCUUUAAGUGUUCGAAGACAGGACAUUAUGCAAAUGAAUGUCCUGAAUUACAAAAUGGAAAUAGCAAUGGAAGCUCUGGGAAGAAGUCAAACCCUUUCAACAAGGGACAGGUGAACCACGUAAACGUGGAGGAGGUUGAAGAGCAGCCAGAUGCCGUCAUCGGUAAGUUUUUGGUUAAGUCAUUUACUGCAUUCAUUCUUUUUGAUACUGGUGCAUCGCAUUCAUACAUAUCAAGGGGAUUUGUGGAUAAGUAUAACCUGCCCACUAAGGUUCUUAGAACACCUAUGCUAGUAAGCUCACUAGGAGCGGAGUAUAUGGCCAUUCAAGGGUGUUUUCAAGUGCCAUUGAGUAUAGGUAGGCAUGUGUUUCCAUCGGAUUUAAUCAUUUUAGAAUCACAAGGAUUGGAUGUAAUUCUGGGUAUGGAUUGGCUAUCGAUGUACGGAGGAAACAUCGAUUGCGCCAGUAAGAUAAUUUUGCUUACCACCCCAGAAGGGAAAAGGAUCAAGUAUGUAUCCCGACAUGUGCCAAAAGGGACUCAAGUAAAUUGUUUAACAGGAGUAGUGCAGAAGGAAGUACCAGUGGUAAGGGAUUUCCCUGAAGUAUUUCCAGAAGAGUUGCCAGGCAUGCCACCAGAUAGACAUAUUGAGUUUUUGAUUGAGCUAUUGCCAGGCACAGGGCCAAUAUCAAAGAGACCACACAGGAUGCCUGCAAAGGAUUUGGUGGAAAUUAAGAAGCAGAUUAAGGAGUUACUGGAUAAAGGAUAUAUUCGCCCAAGUUCUUCGCCUUGGGGAUCGCCAGUACUUCUAGUGGAGAAGAAGGAUGGAUCGUUAAGGAUGGUUGUUGAUUAUCGAGGAUUGAAUGAAGUAAUGAUCAAAAACAAGUACCCACUACCAGUGAUUAAUGAUCUGUUUGAUCGAUUGCAAGGAGCUAAGGUAUUUUCCAAGAUCAAUCUGCGAUCAGGAUACCACCAGUUGAAGAUUCGAGAACAGGAUAUUCCUAAGACAACUUUUACCACCAGGUAUGGGCUGUACGAGUAUACCGUUAUGUCAUUUGGUGUGACUAACGCACCUGCCUAUUUUAUGAACAUGAUGAACGAAGUGUUUAUGGAGUUCUUGGAUAAGUUCGUCGUGGUGUUCAUCGAUGAUAUCCUGGUUUACUCGAAGAAUGAAGAGGAGCAUAAGGAACAUUUGCGAUUGGUACUUGAGAAGCUCAGAGAACAUCAGUUGUAUGCCAAGUUCAGCAAAUAUGAGUUUUGGUUGAAGGAAGUAGGAUUCCUCGGGCACGUUAUAUCCGGGGAAGGUAUAGAAGUAGAUCCCACUAAAGUUGAUACCGUGACCAAGUGGGAAGCACCAACCACGGUUGGAGAGAUCUGGAGUUUUCUUGGACUCGCAGGAUACUACCGGAGAUUCAUUGAGAAUUUCUCAAAGAUUGCGAAGCCUAUGACGGAGUUAUUAAAGAAGGGAACCAAGUUCAUAUGGACGAAGGAAUGUGAGGCUAGUUUCCAGGAGUUGAAGAAACGUUUGGUUACCUCACCAGUGUUGAUUUUGCCAGACCAGACCAAAGAUUAUGAGGUGUAUUGCCACGCUUCACGUCGAGGACUUGGAGCAGUGCUUAUGCAGGAAGGGAAAGUUGUUUCAUAUGCCUCAAGACAACUGAAGCCUCAUGAGUUGAAUUAUGCUACGCAUGAUUUGGAGUUAGUAGCCAUAGUGCAUGUAUUGAAAAUAUGGAGACAUUUCCUCAUUGAAAACCAUUGUGAGGUGUACACGGAUCAUAAGAGUUUGAAGUACAUUUUCACGCAGAAGGAGUUAAACCUCAGACAAAGGAGGUGGUUGGAGCUCAUCAAGGAUUAUGAGAUGAAAUUGCAUUACCAUCCCAGAAAGGCUAAUGUAGUAGCUGACGCAUUAAGCCGUAAGAGCCACGUCAAUACAUUAAUGACGGGAGAAAUACCAAGGGAGUUAGCAGAAAAUCUUCGUGAACUAUGUUUGGAAAUAGUUUCGAGAGGCUAUGUAGCAGCAUUGGAGAUUCAGUCAAGUUUUAUGGAUAGAAUCAGAGAAGCUCAGAAGACUGACAAGGAGAUUGCCUCUAUUAAGGAGAAACUUAGCAAAGGAAAGGCUAAAGGAUUUCGUGAGGAUGAGCACGACACCCUAUGGUUUGAAGACCGUGUUUAUGUGCCCAAUGACCCGGAGAUUAGGAAAUUGAUUCUGCAAGAGGCACACGAUUCACCAUAUUCGAUUCAUCCGGAAAAUACCAAGAUGUAUUUGGAUUUGAAAGAUAUUUUCUGGUGGACCGGAAUGAAGAAGGAUAUUGCAGAGUACGUAGCAGUUUGUGAUGUAUGUCAGAGAGUAAAGGCAGAGCAUCAGAAGCCAGCAGGAUUGUUACAACCAUUGCCGAUACCCGAAUGGAAGUGGGAUAAGUUAGGCAUGGAUUUUAUCACGGGAUUACCCAGGACUCGUUCAGGCUAUGACUCAAUUUGGGUUGUAGUUGAUCGAUUGACGAAGGUAGCUCAUUUCAUCCCGGUAAAGACCACUUACACCAGUGCUAAGUUGGCAAAGAUAUACAUGACCAGGAUCGUAUGUUUGCAUGGAGUUCUGAUGUCACAUCCCUAGUCUGGUAUGACCUAGACUAGCUAGUCAUUUGUGCAUCAUGUUUAAAUUCCAUUUAAUUUUGAAAUGAGGAUUUGUGAAACCCUCAAAAUCAUCUCUGAAAUGACCCAAAUAAAAAUUGUUCCAAAAAGGUCCAAGGAAAUGUUCAUGUUGCUCUCUGAAAAUAUUGGUCAGAGGUAAAAUUCUAACAAAUCUUUUAGGAGCUCAUGGAUAUUUAAUUUUGGCCAUUUGGAUUAAUCCGAUAAUUAUUUGCCUUGGAUAUAUAUUGUUAUAUAUAUAUAUAAUAUGGUCCAAAAAUUAUGCUAUUUAUAAAGGAGCUCUGGAAUAAUAUAGUUAGCUCCUGCAAAAAUUGGCAUAAGGAAAUAAAUUGAUUUAGUAUUAUUACUAAAUCAAAACAUAUGUCAGAAAAAAAUUAGAAAACAAAAAUAAAAGAGGGAAACUUACCUGGGCCUCCUCCCUGUGCGGCCUGGCCGGCCCAGCAGCCAGCGCCGGCCCAGCCCACCUGCCCCCCCCUCUGUCGUCUUCCUCCCCGACAGGAGGACGGGCGCGUGCCCGACGCGCGCGCGCUCCGCCGCGCCACGCCACCUCCCUCUCUGCCUGCCUGCCCUCUCCCCUCCUUGUCUGGACGCCCGGGAGACACCACGCCCCCCCGUACCCUCUCACUCUCUCUCGUUCCUUCCCCCCCUCCUCUGCUCUCUCUCUCGCGCGCAGCCGAGCAGAGCUCAUCGCCGCCAUCCACCGUAGCCGUAGCCACCGCCUCCCCCUCGCCUCUCCGACACGCGCAGGAGCUCUGCCCCCUCGCCCUGAAGCUCCCCGUCAAGCCACAAGACGCCGGACGCCCUGUGGAGCCGCCGUCGCCAUCGUCUUCCUCCUCGGACGCCGCCGACCGCCGACUCCGAUUCGCCGUCUCCAACGCGUCCCCGGCAACAACGAGCAGCCCUGGAGGUCCGCGGUGAGCUCCGCCACCGUUCCCCUCCCUCCAUUUAGCUGCCCGCUCGCCGUAGCCCUCCUCCCCACCACGGCCGAAGCUUCCUGCCGCCGUUCAUGUCGCCGCGGUCGCCCUGGCCACCGCAGCUUGCAACCGAGCACCCCAUCGUGCUCCCGGUGCCACGAGGGUGCCACCGAGCCCCUCAGGUGGCCUCCCCGUGCCCCGCAGCCCGUUCCCGAUCGAAGCCGAGCUCCGGCCGCCGCCGUGAGCUUUGCUCCGGCGAGCUCCGGCCUCCCCAGCUCCUCCCACCUGCCCCUCCAGAUGCGCGAGAGCCCGGGCUAUGCCCCGGUGCUCUCCGACGCCGUCCCCGUGGCCGGUAUCGCGGACGCCGCCGCGUCCAGAGGUCGCCGCCGACGACCUCGCCGGCCUGACGAGUGGGCUCCGUCGGCCAGGUGAUUAGCUUAGUGCUAAUCACCGUUAACUAACCCCCUGACACUGACAGUGGGCCCCAGCGCCACUAAUCCUUUAGUUAGGAUUAAACUAACCCUGUUUAACCCCCUGUCACUGAUGUGUGGACCCCACACGUCAGGUUUGACCCCAGUCAGCCACAGUUGACUGCUGACGUCGUGCUAACGUCAUGCUGGCGCAAUAUAUAUUUUCUGGAAUUAAAAUAAUUCAGGAAAUUCCAGAAAUUGAUUUAAACUUCAAAAAUUCAUAGAAAUUCAACCGUAGCUCAGAUUGAAAUAAUUUAUAUAUGAAAAAUUAUCAGAAAAAUGCAACCUAUCCAUCUGUACUAGUUUCAUGCAUGACAAACCAACUUAUACAUGCUGUAUAUGAGAAAACACAUUAUGGCAUUUAUAAGAGCUUACUUUGGAGAUGCAUUUGAGCUUAUGGUUCAAAUGGACUUCAAACCAAAUGAGUACUAGUUGCAUUAGCUCAAACAACAUCACAUCUUCAUGCCAUGUUCAUGCAUCAUAUUGUUGCAUAUGUUUGUUUAUUGAUUGCCGACACUGUUCCUUCUCGAUAGGUCUUGCUCCGGAGACGUUCCAGAGUACCUGUCUGUGAAGUAGUGCCUCCCUUGUUGAUUUACCAGGCAAGCAAACCCCCUUGUUCAUUCCGAUACAAUCCUACUCUCUCGCUCCUGCUCUCAGUUAUUGCAUUAGGACAACAACGAUUCAUCUGCUACUUUGUGCUGCGGUAGUUGAACCCAUUCCUCUGCAUGACCUGUCAUUGCCACAGUAAAUAGUUGAAACCCACUAGCAUGUGUAGGAGUUGAUUGAGCCAUGUUGUGUUCCUACCAUGCUAUGCCUGCUAUUGCUUAGAGUUGUGUCAGGUUUGGUUCAUUGGGAAUGAAUUGGAGUGUUACGAUAUGUUCUGAUGCUGAGAGUGAAGUGUGUGAACACGAUUUGGUAAAGGUAGCGGUGAGAGGCCGUGUAGGAGUACAUGGUGGGUUGUCUCACUGGAACCGUCCUUAAGCACUGAGUUCUAUGUAUGUUGUCCAAUGACUCGAUACUACCACACAUUGGGAUCCUUAAUUGACUCUCUCGACUUAUUAACCAACUUGGUCUCUGUCCAGGAGUCGCAACUAGUUUCUGGUGUUUGUAGGUAGUGCUAUUUUUCUACCAAGUGGCACCCGGCAGGGUGGGCUUGGGACAGACUAGGCACACGUGGCCCGGUGUACCGAGUGGCACCAGGAUGGUGGGCUCGGGAACCCUGCUCACAUCGUUUGGGGCCGUGAGCGACACCCCGACCGGAUCUCCUUGCGGAUGGAACCCGAAUAGGCGAUAAACCUGGACUAGAGUCUUGUGUGGUUAGUCAGGUCGUGGCCGACACCCUCGCCAGGCUUCCGCUUGAAGGUUGCCGAGAUACAUAACGUGUACAUGGCGGUAAGUGGCGAGAGCGUGUGUGAAGAAGUACACCCCUGCAGGGUUAACAUGAUCUAUUCGAAUAGCCGGGUCCGCGGUUAUGGACUUCUUGGAUGCUUACAUGGUACAUAGACAACUUGAAGUGGAUACUCUAAAAUGCUCAAGACAAGUGUGAGUGCUAUGGAUGGCCUUCUCGUAGGGAGACGGGGAUGAAUCCAUAGUAGUGUAUUGUGUGGUGAUUAGUGGACUCGUGUGCGCCAUAUCACCUCAAGAGUUUCUGGUAGUCGUAGAACAGGAUAGCCACAGAGUCAAAGCUGGCUUGCUGCAACUAAACCCCACAUUACUCUCUUGAUACAAAUGCAUGUAUGAUAGGAUCUGAUGUAAGUCUUGCUGAGUACCUUUGUACUCAUGUUGCUUUAUUUAUGUUUUUGCAGCGAAGACUUCGGUCUUAAUAGUGUUCUCGUGGACUUCGACGAGUAGCUUGUACCUCAGCUACGAUCUUGAUCGGACGUUGUAGAUAGUCAGGCUUUUAGCCUUUUUCAUUUAUAGAUGUCUGUACUCAGACAUGUAAUGCUUCCGUUUGUUGCUUGAUUGCUCUGAAUGUUGGGACAUGUGACCCCUGUUUGUAAUAAAUGCUAUGAUGGCUCUUCUGAGCCUUUAUCUAUAUGAGUUGUUGAGUUAUGCUGUGAUGCCAUGUUGUACAGCACAUACUUGCAUGUUAUGCGUACGUGUAACGUGUAUUGCUAUGUGUGGGAUCUGACUAUCUAGUUGUUUAUCCUUAGUAGUCUUUCUUACCGGGAAAUGUCUCCUAGUGCUUCCACUGAGCCCUGGUAGCUUGCUACUGCUCCGGAACACUUAGGCUGGCCGGCAUGUGUCCUUCUUCGAUCCUGUGUCUGUCCCUUCGGGGAAAUGUCACGCGAUGAAUACCGAAGUCCUGUUAGCCCGCUACAGCCCGGUUCACCGGAGUCCUGUUAGCCCAGUGCUACAGCCUGGAUUCACUCGCUGAUGACCGACACGUUCGAUGCUGGGUCAUGGAUGCCUGUCCCUGUAAGUUUGUGCCACUUUGGGUUUACGACUAGCCAUGUCAGCCCGGGCUCCUUAUCACAUGGAUGCUAGCGACACUGUCAUAUACGUGUGCCAAAAGGCGCAAACGGUCCCGGGCAAAGGUAAGGCGACACCCGUGGGGAUACCGUGCGUGAGGCCGCAAAGUGAUAUGAGGUGUUACAUGCUAGAUCGAUGUGGCAUUGAGUCGGGGUCCUGACAGCGCUUGGUAUCAGAGCCUGACUGCCUGUAGGAUUACCAAGCCAAACUGGUCGAAGUUGAGUCUAGAAAUUCUUUAGUUAUGUAAGGGAAUUGAUUGUGGGAAGGAACGUAAGGCUCUUUUUACUCCUUAUACCUCAUGGCCUUCUGAUCUGAGUCAUCCUAUCUUUUCUACGGGGUUAAGGAACUAGGCUUUCUCUUCCGUCUAUCAGGAUCACGUGUUACUACUCCGUAGUCCCAUAGGAUUGGUUGAUCAGAGUCAUACCCCAGUUUUGAGUAUUUCCGGUGUAGUCUGUUUAGUAUGAUCUCAGAACCUUGAGUAAUGCUGAUGAGUAUGUUACCACCCCAUUUUUAGUAGGAUGUCUCAUUCUGAGCAUUUUACUGCCGUUAUGCUGCCGGAAUUUUCCUAGGAGUUCGAGAGAUACUAAUUCCUUGUCCUACAUUCUACAGUCUAUAGUUGAUGCUGACUCCGUUCCUGGUUCCGUUUCUCAGGAUGUCAUCAAGUUCUAUUGUUCGUAGCCAGAACCAUGGAGAUGGUAGGGAUGAGGAUCCCCCCGACCCGCCUUCGUUGACAGAGUUCAUGUUAGAAAUGGAGAGGAACAAGCGUGAGUCUAACCGUUUGUUGGCACGUAUCGAGGAGAACACCGCACAUCGGCCCAAUAAGUCUGCGACCAUUCAUGACUUCAUUCGCUUGCACCCACCUACCUUUCAUCAUUCCAUCGAGCCACUCGAUGCAGAUGACUGGCUCCGUAGCAUCACUCAUAAGCUGCGUUCCGCGAGCGUAGCUGAAGAUGACAAGGUCACCUAUGCCACAUACCACCUGGAAGGUCCUGCUAGUCUUUGGUGGCAGAACUAUGAGGCUAUGCUUCCAGCUGGCCAGAAUCCUACCUAGAGAGAUUUCAUUGAGGCUUUUCGCGAGCAUCACAUUCCUGAAGCCCUCAUCGAUCGCAAGAGAGAAGAGUUCUGUAGUUUCACCCAGAGUAAGAUGGCUAUUGAUGCUUACAGUAGAGAGUUUGAGAACCUCGCCCGCUAUGCCUCAGAAGAAGUGUCCACGGACGCCAAGAAGCAGGCUAGGUUCCGGAAGGGUCUCAACCCCAAGUUGCGUCGUGAUCUCCACCUGCAUCAUUGUGAUACAUUCUAAGCUCUUGUGAACAAGGCCAUUAAUGCAGAGAUAGCUCAGCUCACUUACAAGGAGUCUCGUAAGCACACCCGUGAUUUGGGAUCUUCCUCCGGUUCUAGUUCCCAGAAGCGCCGGAUUUGGGUUCCAAACUCCGCUCUUCCUUCCGGUUAUACACCGAGGUCAUCUCAUGUGGUGCCUUCCCCAGCUCAGUCAUAUGUUUCACCCAGGCCUACUGGUAGACCGCUUGUCAGUGCGGGUCCACGUCCAACCUCAGGGACUUGCUUCACAUGCGGGAAGCCAGGACACUAUGCACGUGACUGCUCUCAGACUAGUUAUGCUCCACCCCAGCCCGAGAGGACUGUUGGCUGUGUUAAGCCAUCAAGCAAGACGAUCAGUGCCAAGUCAGCUCCCACCAAACGUGGACGUGUGCAUCACGUCUCAGCUAAAGACGCUCAUGAUGAUCCGGAUGUCGUUCUUGGUACACUCCUUGUCAAUUGUCACCCAGCAUCGGUUCUAUUCGAUACUGGAGCAUCUCAUUCCUUCAUUUCUGAAGGCUAUGCUCGUUUGCAUGACAUGUCAUUUUGUGGUAUGCCAACUCCGCUUGAAAUCCAAACCCCAGGGUCUAGAUGGCAGACCACCAGAAUCAGCCAUGGUAAUGAAAUCCUUGUUGAUAGACUUGUAUUCCUAGCAUCACUUGUAGCCCUCAAGUCCUCAGAUAUUAAUAUCAUCUUGGGUAUGGACUGGAUGACAGCUCAUCAUGCCAAGAUUGAUUGUUACACAAGAUCUGUUCAGCUUACACACCCAUCUGGCAAGAUAGUCACUGUCUCCACUAGAGUUGCAAAGCGUGAGCUCUAUUCUCUUAAUGCCAGCCCUCUUCCAGACCUUGAAGAUAUCCUGGUAGUCCGUGACUUUCCGGAUGUCUUUCCAGAGGAACUGCCAGGUGUUCCACCUGACAGAGAUGUAGAGUUUGUCAUAGAUCUUAUUCCAGGAACUGCUCCAAUCUCCAGAAGACCUUACAAGAUGGCACCCUUAGAACUAGCCGAGCUUAAGAAACAACUUGAUGAGUCCUUGCAAAAGGGUUUCAUCCGUCCUAGUUCUUCUCCUUGGGCUUGCCCCGUCCUCUUUGUUAAGAAGAAGGAUGGUACGGACCGGAUGGUUGUAGAUUAUCGUCCCGUUAAUUUGGUCACGAUAAAGAACAAAUAUCCGCUCCCCAGGAUCAACGAUCUGUAUGAUCAGCUCGCUGGAUCCUCAGUCUUCUCCAAGAUGGAUUUAAGGUUAGGCUACCACCAAAUCAAAAUCAGAAACGGGGACAUUCCCAAGACAGCUUUUGUCACUCGUUAUGGCCAGUACGAGUACACCGUCAUGUCCUUUGGCCUAACCAAUGCUCCAGCUACUUUCUCCCGCUUGAUGAACUCGAUCUUCAUGGAGUACUUAGAUAAGUUCAUCGUGGUUUACCUCGAUGAUAUUCUUAUUUACUCGAAGAACGAGGAAGAGCAUGCCGAACAUCUUAGACUUGUGUUAGAAAAACUCAGAGAGCACCGCCUUUAUGCCAAGUUCUCCAAGUGUGAAUUUUGGUUGCCAGAAGUGACCUACCUAGGCCACGUAAUCUCUGGUAAGGGCAUUGCUGUCAAUCCCGAGAGAGUUCAGGCUGUUCUCGAUUGGACUCCACCUGAAACCGUUAAACAAGUUAGGAGUUUCCUUGGUCUAGCCAGCUAUUGUCGCCGCUUUGUUGAAAACUUCUCCAAAGUAGCCAAACCCCUCACGGAACUUCUCAAGAAAGAUAAAAAGUUCGAGUGGUCCCCACAGUGUGAGUACAGUUUUCAGGAACUGAAAAGACGCCUGACUUCUGCUCCCAUACUUGUACCACCGGAUUUCACUAAAGACUUUAUUAUCUACUGCGACGCCUCACGACAGGGACUAGGUUGCAUUCUUAUGCAGGAUCGUCAUGUGAUUGCCUAUGCAUCUCGACAGUUGCAUCCACAUGAGGAUAAUUAUCCAACACAUGAUCUAGAGCUUGCAGCCGUAGUCUAUGCACUCAAGACCUGGCGACAUUACCUUCUUGGUAAACGUUGCGAGAUCUACACCGAUCACUAGAGUCUCAAGUAUAUCUUCACCCAACCGGAUCUGAACCUUAGGCAAAGACGUUGGUUGGAGUUAAUCACAGAUUAUGAUCUAGGGAUUACCUACACCCCAGGCAAAGCCAAUGUCAUGGCUGAUGCGUUAAGCCGUAAAUCCUAUUGCAACAAUCUCAUGUUGCGGCAAGGCCAACCACUUCUCCAUGAGGAAUUCUGUAAGCUUAACCUUCACAUUGCUCCUCACGGAUUCCUUUCUACCUUGUUGGCGAAACCUACUCUUGAGGAUCAGAUCAUAACUAGCCAGCAAUAUGAUACGGGUAUUUCUCGUAUCAAGGAUAACGUUAAGAAGGGAGUUGCUGGUAGUUUCUCUAUGGAUGAUCGUGGUGUUGUUUUCUUUGGGAACCGCCUGGUGGUCCCCAAGAAGCAACCUCUUCGACAAUUGAUUCUCAAGGAGGCGCAUGAAUCUCCUCUCACGAUUCAUCCCGGUAGCACUAAGAUGUAUCAGGACCUACGCCAGAGGUUCUGGUGGACUAGGAUGAAGAGAGAAAUCGCUGAGUUCAUUGCUAAAUGUGACGUCUGUCGUCGCGUUAAGGCAGAGCAUCAAAGACCUGCUGGCACCCUUCAGCCUUUAGCUAUUCCUGAAUGGAAAUGGGAUAAAGUUGGUAUGGACUUCAUCACCGGCUUUCCCAGGACCAAAAGAGGGAAUAAUGCUAUCUUCGUAGUCAUUGAUCGUCUUUCUAAAGUGGCUCACUUCCUUCCUGUUCGAGAGAGUAUCACUACUAGUCAGCUUGCUGACUUAUACAUUUCUCGAAUAGUGUCACUUCAUGGUGUUCCACUAGAGAUCAAUUCAGACCGUGGCAGUCUUUUCACUUCUCAUUUCUGGGAGAGUUUCCAAACUGCCAUGGGAACCCAUCUUUCCUUCAGUACCGCUUUCCACCCUCAGUCGAGUGGUCAGGUGGAACGGGUCAACCAAAUUCUCGAAGACAUGCUUAGAGCUUGCGUUAUCUCAUUCGGUAUGGAUUGGGAGAAAUGUCUUCCUUUUGCCGAGUUUGCUUAUAACAAUAGCUAUCAAUCCAGCCUCAAGAAAGCUCCUUUUGAGGUUCUCUAUGGACGAAGAUGUCGAACACCUUUGAACUGGUCAGAAACCGGUGAAAGACAAUUCUUUGGACCGGACAUGAUCCAGGAGGCAGAAGAGCAAGUUCGCAUCAUUCGUGAGAAUUUGAAAACAGCCCAAUCUCGUCAAAAGAGCCAGUAUGACCGUCGUCAUAAGGAAGUGGCUUAUGAAAUUGGUGACAAGGCUUACCUUUGGGUUACUCCCAUGAAGGGUACCCAUCGUUUCGGUAUCAAGGGCAAGUUGGCUCCUCGUUACAUUGGUCCUUUUCGCAUUCUCGCUAAACGAGGAGAGGUUGCCUACCAGUUGGAACUACCCCCACAUCUUUCUCGAGUUCAUGAUGUCUUCCACGUCUCUCAACUCAGGCGUUGCUUCUCGGAUCCCAUCCGCGGAGUGGACCACGAAACGCUUGAUCUCCAAGAUAACCUGACAUACCGAGAGUACCCGGUUCGCAUUCUUGAUCAAGCAGAGCGUGUUACCCGACGUCAGAACAUCAAGUUUCUCAAGGUUCAGUGGUCUCAUCAUUCCGAGAGAGAAGCUACUUGGGAGCGAGAAGAUUGUCUUCGACUGGAGUACCCCGCUUUCUUUCCGUCGACCCCUGAAUCUCGGGACGAGAUUCUUUCAAGUGGGGGCGAGUUGUCACAUCCCUAGUCUGGUAUGACCUAGACUAGCUAGUCAUUUGUGCAUCAUGUUUAAAUUCCAUUUAAUUUUGAAAUGAGGAUUUGUGAAACCCUCAGAAUCAUCUCUGAAAUGACCCAAAUAAAAAUUGUUCCAAAAAGGUCCAAGGAAAUGUUCAUGUUGCUCUCUGAAAAUAUUGGUCAGAGGUAAAAUUCUAACAAAUAUUUUAGGAGCUCAUGGAUAUUUAAUUUUGGCCAUUUGGAUUAAUCCGAUAAUUAUUUGCCUUGGAUAUAUAUUUUUAUAUAUAUAUAAUAUGGUCCAAAAAUUAUGCCAUUUAUAAAGGAGCUCUGGAAUAAUAUAGUUAGCUCCUGCAAAAAUUAGCAUAAGGAAAUAAAUUGAUUUAGUAUUAUUACUAAAUCAAAACAUAUGUCAGAAAAAAAUUAGAAAACAAAAAUAAAAGAGGGAAAAUUACCUGGGCCUCCUCCCUGUGCGGCCUGGCCGGCCCAGCAGCCAGCGCCGGCCCAGCCCACCUGCCCCCCCCUCUGUCGUCUUCCUCCCCGACAGGAGGACGGGCGCGUGCCCGACACGCGCGCGCUCCGCCGCGCCACGCCACCUCCCUCUCUGCCUGCCUGCCCUCUCCCCUCCUCGUCUGGACGCCCGGGAGACGCCACGCCCCCCCGUACCCUCUCACUCUCUCUCGUUCCUUCCCCCCUCCUCUGCCCUCUCUCUCUCGCGCGCAGCCGAGCAGAGCUCAUCGCCACCGUCCACCGUAGCCGUAGCCACCGCCUCCCCCUCGCCUCUCCGACACGCGCAGGAGCUCCGCCCCCUCGCCCUGAAGCUCUCCGUCAAGCCACAAGACGCCGGACGCCCUGUGGAGCCGCCGUCGCCAUCGUCUUCCUCCUCGGACGCCGCCGACCGCCGACUCCGAUUCGCCGUCUCCAACGCGUCCCCGGCCACAACAAGCAGCCCUGGAGGUCCGCGGUGAGCUCCGCCACCGUUCCCCUCCCUCCAUUUAGCUGCCCGCUCGCCGUAGCCCUCCUCCCCACCACGGCCGAAGCUUCCUGCCGCCGUUCAUGUCGCCGCGGUCGCCCUGGCCACCGUAGCUUGCAACCGAGCACCCCAUCGUGCUCCCGGUGCCAUGAGGGUGCCACCGAGCCCCUCAGGUGGCCUCCCCAUGCCCCGCAGCCCGUUCCCGAUCGAAGCCGAGCUCCGGCCGCCGCCGCGAGCUUUGCUCCGGCGAGCUCCGGCCUCCCCAGCUCCUCCCACCUGCCCCUCCAGAUGCGCGAGAGCCCGGGCUACGCCCCGGUGCUCUCCGACGCCGUCCCCGUGGCCGGUAUCGCGGACGCCGCCGCGUCCAGAGGUCGCCGCCGACGACCUCGCCGGCCUGACGAGUGGGCCCCGUCGGCCAGGUCAUUAGCUUAGUGCUAAUCACCGUUAACUAACCCCCUGACACUGACAGUGGGCCCCAGCGCCACUAAUCCUUUAGUUAGGAUUAAACUAACCCUGUUUAACCCCCUGUCACUGAUGUGUGGACCCCACACGCCAGGUUUGACCCCAGUCAGCCACAGUUGACUGCUGACGUCGUGCUGACGUCAUGCUGGCGCAAUAUAUAUUUUCUGGAAUUAAAAUAAUUCAGGAAAUUCCAGAAAUUGAUUUAAACUUCAAAAAUUCAUAGAAAUUCAACCGUAGCUCAGAUUGAAAUAAUUUAUAUAUGAAAAAUUAUCAGAAAAAUGCAACCUAUCCAUCUGUACUAGUUUCAUGCAUGACAAACCAACUUAUACAUGCUGUAUAUGAGAAAACACAUUAUGGCAUUUAUAAGAGCUUACUUUGGAGAUGCAUUUGAGCUUAUGGUUCAAAUGGACUUCAAACCAAAUGAGUACUAGUUGCAUUAGCUCAAACAGCAUCACAUCUUCAUGCCAUGUUCAUGCAUCAUAUUGUUGCAUAUGUUUGUUUAUUGAUUGCCGACACUGUUCCUUCUCGAUAGGUCUUGCUCCGGAGACGUUCCAGAGUACCUGUCUGUGAAGCAGUGCCUCCCUUGUUGAUUUACCAGGCAAGCAAACCCCCUUGUUCAUUCCGAUACAAUCCUACUCUCUCGCUCCUGCUCUCAGUUAUUGCAUUAGGACAACAACGAUUCAUCUGCUACUUUGUGCUGCGAUAGUUGAACCCAUUCCUCUGCAUGACCUGUCAUUGCCACAAUAAAUAGUUGAAACCCACUAGCAUGUGUAGGAGUUGAUUGAGCCAUGUUGUGUUCCUACCAUGCUAUGCCUGCUAUUGCUUAGAGUUGUGUCAGGUUUGGUUCAUUGGGAAUGAAUUGGAGUGUUACGAUAUGUUCUGAUGCUGAGAGUGAAGUGUGUGAACACGAUUUGGUAAAGGUAGCGGUGAGAGGCCGUGUAGGAGUACAUGGUGGGUUGUCUCACUGGAACCGUCCUUAAGCACUGAGUUCUAUGUAUGUUGUCCAAUGACUCGAUACUACCACACAUUGGGAUCCUUAAUUGACUCUCUCGACUUAUUAACCAACUUGGUCUCUGUCCAGGAGUCGCAACUAGUUUCUGGUGUUUGUAGGUAGUGCUAUUUUUCUACCAAGUGGCACCCGGCAGGGUGGGCUUGGGACAGACUAGGCACACGUGGCCCGGUGUACCGAGUGGCACCCGGAUGGUGGGCUCGGGAACCCUGCUCACAUCGUUUGGGGCCGUGAGCGACACCCCGGCCGGAUCUCCUUGUGGAUGGAACCCAAAUAGGCGAUAAACCUGGACUAGAGUCUUGUGUGGUUAGUCAGGUCGUGGCCGACACCCUCGCCAGGCUUCCGCUUGAAGGUUGCCGAGAUACAUAAUGUGUACAUAGCGGUAAGUGGCGAGAGCGUGUGUGAAGAAGUACACCCCUGCAGGGUUAACAUGAUCUAUUCGAAUAGCCGGGUCCGUGGUUAUGGACUUCUUGGAUGCUUACAUGGUACAUAGACAACUUGAAGUGGAUACUCUAAAAUGCUCAAGACAAGUGUGAGUGCUAUGGAUGGCCUUCUCGUAGGGAGACGGGGAUGAAUCCAUAGUAGUGUAUUGUGUGGUGAUUAGUGGACUCGUGUGCGCCAUAUCACCUCAAGAGUUUCUGGUAGUCGUAGAACAGGAUAGCCACAGAGUCAAAGCUGGCUUGCUGCAACUAAACCCCACAUUACUCUCUUGAUACAAAUGCAUGUAUGAUAGGAUCUGAUGUAAGUCUUGCUGAGUACCUUUGUACUCAUGUUGCUUUAUUUAUGUUUUUGCAGCGAAGACUUCGGUCUUAAUAGUGUUCUCGUGGACUUCGACGAGUAGCUUGUACCUCAGCUACGAUCUUGAUCGGACGUUGUAGAUAGUCAGGCUUUCAGCCUUUUUCAUUUAUAGAUGUCUGUACUCAGACAUGUAAUGCUUCUGUUUGUUGCUUGAUUGCUCUGAAUGUUGGGACAUGUGACCCCUGUUUGUAAUAAAUGCUAUGAUGGCUCUUCUGAGCCUUUAUCUAUAUGAGUUGUUGAGUUAUGCUGUGAUGCCAUGUUGUACAACACAUACUUGCAUGUUAUGCGUACGUGUAACGUGUAUUGCUAUGUGUGGGAUCUGACUAUCUAGUUGUUUAUCCUUAGUAGUCUUUCUUACCGGGAAAUGUCUCCUAGUGCUUCCACUGAGCCCUGGUAGCUUGCUACUGCUCCGGAACACUUAGGCUGGUCGGCAUGUGUCCUUCUUCGAUCCUGUGUUUGUCCCUUCGGGGAAAUGUCACACGAUGAAUACCGAAGUCCUGUUAGCCCGCUACAGCCCGGUUCACCGGAGUCCUGUUAGCCCAGUGCUACAGCCUGGAUUCACUCGCUGAUGACCGACACGUUCGAUGCUGGGUCAUGGAUGCCUGUCCCUGUAAGUUUGUGCCACUUUGGGUUUACGACUAGCCAUGUCAGCCCGGGCUCCUUAUCAUAUGGAUGCUAGCGACACUGUCAUAUACGUGUGCCAAAAGGCGCAAACGGUCCCGGGCAAAGGUAAGGCGACACCCGUGGGGAUACCGUGCGUGAGGCCGCAAAGUGAUAUGAGGUGUUACAUGCUAGAUCGAUGUGGCAUUGAGUCAGGGUCCUGACAGCGCUUGGUAUCAGAGCCUGACUGCCUGUAGGAUUACCAAGCCAAACUGGUCGAAGUUGAGUCUAGAAAUUCUUUAGUUAUGUAAGGGAAUUGAUUGUGGGAAGGAACGUAAGGCUCUUUUUACUCCUUAUACCUCAUGGCCUUCUGAUCUGAGUCAUCCUAUCUUUUCUACGGGGUUAAGGAACUAGGCUUUCUCUUCCGUCUAUCAGGAUCACGUGUUACUACUCCGUCGUCCCAUAGGAUUGGUUGAUCAGAGUCAUACCCCAGUUUUGAGUAUUUCCGGUGUAGUCUGUUUAGUAUGAUCUCAGAACCUUGAGUAAUGCUGAUGAGUAUGUUACCACCCCAUUUUUAGUAGGAUGUCUCAUUCUGAGCAUUUUACUGCCGUUAUGCUGCCGGAAUUUUCCUAGGAGUUCGAGAGAUACUAAUUCCUUGUCCUACAUUCUACAGUCUAUAGUUGAUGCUGACUCCGUUCCUGGUUCCGUUUCUCAGGAUGUCAUCAAGUUCUAUUGUUCGUAGCCAGAACCAUGGAGAUGGUAGGGAUGAGGAUCCCCCCGACCCGCCUUCGUUGACAGAGUUCAUGUUAGAAAUGGAGAGGAACAAGCGUGAGUCUAACCGUUUGUUGGCACGUAUCGAGGAGAACACCGCACAUCGGCCCAAUAAGUCUGCGACCAUUCAUGACUUCAUUCGCUUGCACCCACCUACCUUUCAUCAUUCCAUCGAGCCACUCGAUGCAGAUGACUGGCUCCGUAGCAUCACUCAUAAGCUGCGUUCCGCGAGCGUAGCUGAAGAUGACAAGGUCACCUAUGCCACAUACCACCUGGAAGGUCCUGCUAGUCUUUGGUGGCAGAACUAUGAGGCUAUGCUUCCAGCUGGCCAGAAUCCUACCUAGAGAGAUUUCACUGAGGCUUUUCGCGAGCAUCACAUUCCUGAAGCCCUCAUCGAUCGCAAGAGAGAAGAGUUCUGUAGUUUCACCCAGAGUAAGAUGGCGGUUGAUGCUUACAGUAGAGAGUUUGAGAACCUCGCCCGCUAUGCCUCAGAAGAAGUGUCCACGGACGCCAAGAAGCAGGCUAGGUUCCGGAAGGGUCUCAACCCCAAGUUGCGUCGUGAUCUCCACCUGCAUCAUUGUGAUACAUUCCAAGCUCUUGUGAACAAGGCCAUUAAUGCAGAGAUAGCUCAGCUCACUUACGAGGAGUCUCGUAAGCACACCCGUGAUUUGGGAUCUUCCUCUGGUUCUAGUUCCCAGAAGCGCCGGAUUUGGGUUCCAAACUCCGCUCUUCCUUCCGGUUAUACACCGAGGUCAUCUCAUGUGGUGCCUUCCCCAGCUCAGUCAUAUGUUUCACCCAGGCCUACUGGUAGACCGCUUGUCAGUGCGGGUCCACGUCCAACCUCAGGGACUUGCUUCACAUGCGGGAAGCCAGGACACUAUGCACGUGACUGCUCUCAGACUAGUUAUGCUCCACCCCAGCCCGAGAGGACUGUUGGCUGUGUUAAGCAAGACGAUCAGUGCCAAGUCAGCUCCCACCAAACGUGGACGUGUGCAUCACGUCUCAGCUAAAGACGCUCAUGAUGAUCCGGAUGUCGUUCUUGGUACACUCCUUGUCAAUUGUCACCCAGCAUCGGUUCUAUUCGAUACUGGAGCAUCUCAUUCCUUCAUUUCUGAAGGCUAUGCUCGUUUGCACGACAUGUCAUUUUGUGGUAUGCCAACUCCAUUUGCACGACCAGGCUAGAAUUCAGUACAGCUUUUCAUCCACAGACAGAUGGACAGACCGAGAGAGUCAAUCAGAUUUUGGAGGAUAUGCUGAGAGCUUGUGUGCUAGAUUACGGAUCUUGUUGGGACGACAAUUUGCCAUAUGCAGAGUUCUCUUACAAAACAGUUACAAAACCAGUUUGAAGAUGGUGAAGGAAAUAUGCCCUAGAGGCAAUAAUAAAGUUAUUACUUAUUUCCUUAUUUCAUGAUAAAUGUUUAUUAUUCAUGCUAGAAUUGUAUUAACCGGAAACAUAAUACAUGUGUGAAUACAUAGACAAACAGAGUGUCACCAGUAUGCCUCUACUUGACUAGCUCGUUAAUCAAAGAUGGUUAUGUUUCCUAACCAUAGACAAAGAGUUGUUAUUUGAUUAACGGGAUCACAUCAUUAGGUGAAUGAUCUGAUUGACUUGACCCAUUCUGUUAGCUUAGCAGUCGAUCGUUUAGUAUGUUGCUAUUGCUUUCUUCAUGACUUAUACAUGUUCCUAUGACUAUGCGAUUAUGCAACUCCCGUUUGCCGGAGGAACACUUUGUGUGCUACCAAACGUCACAACGUAAAUGGGUGAUUAUAAAGGUGCUCUACAGGUGUCUCCAAAGGUACAUGUUGGGUUGGCGUAUUUCGAGAUUAGUAUUUGUCACUCCGAUUGUCGGAGAGGUAUCUCUGGGCCCUCUCGGUAAUGCACAUCACAUAAGCCUUGCAAGCAUUGCAACUAAUGAGUUAGUUGCGAGAUGAUGUAUUACGAAACGAGUAAAGAGACUUGCCGGUAACGAGAUUGAACUAAGUAUUGAGAUACCGACGAUCGAAUCUCGGGCAAGUAACAUACCGAUGACAAAGGGAACAACGUAUGUUGUUAUGCGGUCUGACCGAUAAAGAUCUUCGUAGAAUAUGUAGGAGCCAAUAUGAGCAUCCAGGUUCCGCUAUUGGUUAUUGACCGGAGACGUGUCUCGGUCAUGUCUACAUUGUUCUCGAACCCGUAGGGUCCGCAUGCUUAAGGUUUCGAUGACAGUUAUAUUAUGAGUUUAUGAGUUUUGAUGUACCGAAGUUAGUUCGGAGUCCCGGAUGUGAUCACGGACAUGACGAGGAGUCUCGAAAUGGUCGAGACAUAAAGAUUGAUAUAUUGGACGGCUAUAUUCGGACACCGGAAGUGUUCCGGGUGAUUUCGGAGAAAACCGGAGAGCCGGAGGGUUACCGGAACCCCCCGGGAGAAGUAAUGGGCCAUAUGGGCCUUAGUGGAGAGAGAGAGGCGCUGCCAGAGGUGGGCCGCGCGCCUCCUCCCCCUUGGUCCGAAUUGGACUAGGAGAGGGGGGCGGCGCCCCCCUUUCCCUCUCCCUCCCCACUUCUUUCCCCCUCCUAGUAGGAGUCCUACUCCUACUAGGAGGAGGACUCCUCCUGGCGCGCCUAUAGGGCUGGCCGGCCUCCUCCCCUUGCUCCUUUAUAUACGGGGGAAGGGGGCCACCCCUAUACACAGAAGUUGAUCUUCAUGAUCGUUCCUUAGCCGUGUGCGGUGCCCCCCUCCACCAUAUUCCACCUCGGUCAUAUUGUAGCGGUGCUUAGGCGAAGCCCUGCGACGGUAGUACAUCAAGAUCGUCACCACACCGUCGUGCUGACGGAACUCUUCCCCGACGCUUUGCUGGAUCGGAGCCCGGGGAUCGUCAUCGAGCUGAACGUGUGCUAGAACUCGGAGGUGCCGUAGUUUCAGUGCUUGAUCGGUCGGGCCGUGGAGACGUAUGACUACAUCAACCAAAUGCUUCCGUUGUCGAUCUACAAGGGUACGUAGAUCACACUCUCCCCUCUCGUUGCUAUGCAUCACCAUGAUCUUGCGUGUGCGUAGGAUUUUUUUUGAAAUUACUACGUUCCCCAUCAGAUGGCCCCUUUCGAAGCAUUGUACGGAAGGAGGUGCAGGACACCGUUGUCGUGGGACGAAGUUGGAGACCGCCACUUGUUUGGACCUGACUUGAUUAAAGAGUCUGAACAGAAGGUGAAGUUGAUUCGCGAUAGGCUCAAGGUAGCUCAGUCUAGAUAGAAGAGUUAUGCAGAUUCUAAACGCAAGGAGACAAUUUACGAAGUUGGAGAUAGAGCUUAUCUUCGAGUAUCUCCACUUCGGGGAACAAAGCGUUUUGGAGUUAAAGGAAAGUUAGCGCCAUGAUUUGUAGGACCAUAUCGAGUUUUGGAGCGUAUGGGAGAAGUGGCCUACAAGUUGGAAUUGCCCGAAGGAUUGUCAGGAGUUCAUGAUGUGUUCCACGUUCCCCAGUUGAAGAAGUGCCACGCGGAGAUGGCUGACAUACCUUUGAGAGAUACAGUGCCAUUGGAAACUAUUUAGUUGGAUAACAAUUUGACCUACAAGGAGAAACCAAUUAAGAUUCUUGAGUUUGCCAGGCGAGUCACUCGCAGCAAGGUUAUCAAGUUUUGCAAAGUUCAGUGGAGCCACCACACGGAGGACGAAGCCACCUGGGAACGAGAGGAAGAUUUGCUCAAGGACCACCCUCACCUAUUGUCGGUGUCAAAACUGGCGGAUCUCGGGUAGUGGGUCCUGAACUGUGCGUCUAGGACGGAUGGUAACAGGAGGCAGGGGACACGAUGUUUUACCCAGGUUCGGGCCCUCUUGAUGGAGGUAAAACCCUACGUCCUGCUUGAUUAAUAUUGAUGAUAUGGGUAGUACAAGAGUAGAUCUACCACGAGAUCAAGGAGGCUAAACCCUAGAAGCUAGCCUAUGGUAUGAUUGUUGUAUAUAUUGUAUAUCUAUCGACUAGCCUGGCCUCGGUUUAUAUAAUGCACCAGAGGCCUAGGAUAACAAGAGUCCUAGCCGAAUACGCCGGUGGGGAGAAGUCCUUGUCUUGAUCGCCAAGUCUUGUGGAAUCUUCCUUGUAUGCGGUAGCCGUCCGAACUGGGCCAUGAGUAUACGGCCACGGGGGUCCUCGGCCCAAUCUAAUAGAUCGGGAGACGACGUGGUGAGUACCCCCUAGUCCAGGACACCGUCAGUAGCCCCCUGAACCAGUCUUCAAGUUAGGGACGCUCCUCGAUUCUUCCGAACUAUUCUUCAUCUUCGGUUGCCGGUCUUGAAAACUGGUUCAACAAAUCUUCUUUAUCUUCGAUCUUGAGGAUCGCCGAAAUGUAUUCGACGAGUUUACACGUUGGGUAUCCGAGGAGCCCCUUUAAGUUUCCGGCCUUUAUCAAUGCCUUGUUUAUUUUUAUGCCACACCUCAGGUUUGAAGUUGUUCCCGGGAGGCAGGGUCCUCUUGCGUCCGAGCUCCAAUGCCGAACUGCAUUCGUGGUAUCUUUUGCAGCCGAGCACCAACGCUGGACCGCUUCCCAGCUCUAGCGCCAGAAUGUAUCCGAGCUCCAACGCCGGACUAUGUAUCCGAGCUCCAACGCCGGAUUGUAUAUCCGAGCUCCAACGCCGAAAUAUAUCCGAGCUCCAACGCCGGACUAUGUCCAGGCUCCAAUGCCGGACUAUAUCCGAGGUGUCAUAUCACCUUGGUUCAAAAAAGUUGAAGGAGUUUAGCCGAGCUUAAUGCCGGAAAUGCCCUCUAUGGAGCCAGCCACUAGCGCCCGAGCUUUAUGCCGGACUGCUUCCGAGGUGGUGCACCACCCCGACUAUGGACCGAUUUUUUGUCAAUAUUUUUUAUUGGUGCAAUUUAUUCUCUGCCGAGAUAUAUAGCCAGUAGCCCUCAAGGUGUGUAUCGGUCUAAAACCCGAGAUGCUCAUGAAGGAUGACAUAAGACCGCUGAUCCCAGUAGCCGCUGAGACUCAAGUUUAUUUGCAAAAUCGGUCUGAGGAUCAAGUCCUAGCUCGGCAGAAUACUUCGGGACACAAAAGCGGCAUGCUCAGUCCUCAAGACUCAGGUUGGGUGCGGCCGACCAACCUGAGGAUCAAAAUCUCCUCGGAAACUAUAUUGCACAUAAUUUUUUUUUGCAUUGGACAAGCAAUGCAGUAGCCCCCGAGACACUGGUCGGGUGGCAACACCAGAUCAGGGGAUCGAUGUGCCCCUUUAAUAUUUGUAAAUAAUAAGCCCGAAGCCCAGUAGCCCCCGAGCCUUAAUGCGGGCACGGGUGGCCGAAUUAAGGAUCAAUAUCCAUAGUAAAAUCACAAAUUAUGUGUAAUGACUCUAUGUAUCCAAGUACUUUACGUCAUUAAUGCUCGGAUCCGCAUUGUACAAAACUUUGUUGACCGACCAUCGACUUCUACCUCCUUGGCCAGUAGCCGAGGAGUGUUUGUCCUACUUUAUAAAGCCUUUAUGAGGGCAAAGAUUUACAACAAACAAGGCAAUCUGGCCACACGGUUUUAUAAACAAAGGUACAUAGAGAGAUAUGUUAUAUUACUGUUUAACAGAAGAAAUGUAUUCCAAAGAAAAUAGUCCCGCUAUCGGUUCCUUUCUUUGGGUUGUCAUGCUAAGCAUGAUCAUGAAACCUCAGCUCGAAUGUAAGAGCAAAAUAUCGAGGAUUUAGUUUGGGAGGCCAGUUAAUAGCCCCCGGUAGUGUUCGACGACAGUCGAGGUCAAGCCGUAAACACUUCGGCCAAUGUUAUGAAUGGCCCGUCAUAGUCAUCGAAUCGCUGACCAGUUUACGCUUAUUGUGAUAGUCAGUUUUCGGCUUUCUCCACUAAGGUGCUUAACCAUGUGAGCUGGAAGCACAAUCAUAGUGGUUCUCCCAUUGCACGCCUAGCCAAACAAAACGGAACGUAUGAAGCAAGUGCAGGAGCCGGGCAACCCAACUAUUGACCGAAGACACAAUUCAAAACCGAUGCAUAUAUAGCAAUAUCUGAGAAUGUUUUUGCCGAAUCCCUAAGGGUGUCCGGCGUUGCACUGCGAGACUAAUGCUGGAAAAGCACAAAUAGUUUAAAAGUGCCAAAAAGCUUGGAAAACCAAGAAACAUCAGUAAAAACAUGACGUCCGAACAAGAUCAAGUGUUCGGUGCCAAUCCGAAAAUUGGUCUUAGAAAAAAGAAGUGCUUCUGUCGUCCUUUAACAUGACACAUCCUAUCUCAAGACUUCGAGCGGGUCAGCCUACGGCUUCAACCUCCUAUCCCGAGGGCGGAGUACUUCUCAUUAGGCCAGUUUAGCAAACUAAACUCUAGCGGCUUUGAGAGAGAAAUUAGGCUCCCCGGCUAGUGACCGCACACUCGCGUCGAAAAAAGGAGUGAUAAAUAAUAAUAAUAGAACUUUGCAAUGACUGAGAAGAAGAACACUUAUUAUAAAACGACUCAAAUAAACUUAAGAGCCCCCAAGUGACUUGGGUAGAAGAAUGAUUGCAUGUACCGAAGUACUUAUAUCAUAUCUAUGUUCAACCGAACUUUAAACGCGUCUUAACCGACCGUCGGCUUCUCCCUCUUCGGUUAAGGACCGAAAAGUGUUAUGUACUUCAUCGGUCGAGAAUAUCGACGGUGUUUCCAAUAACCAGGCAAUCAGGCCAUAAGGCUGUAACAGACAAAGCGCGCUCAGGGAACUUAUGCUAUAUUACUGCGAAGAGUAAGAAGCAUCUUUGAAGAAAAUAGUACCCCCACCGAUACCUUUCUUCGGUGCUCAUUGUUAUUAUGAGACUUGUGCAAUAGACUUUUUGUACUCAUGAGUUCCGUUGUGUGCCGACCAUCAUUGAAUAACUAUAAGAGCGCUAGCUUUCGGCUUCACCCAGUCUGCGGUCCGGCUCGGGUGACCCGAUCGUGACAAUCGCAGAGGUGCUCCCUUUACUCCCUAGCCGAACAAUCGGGAAUGUAGGGGUAAACACAGGAGCGAGGCAACCCAGCUUGCAAAUCGCUUAAGUCAAUGUGGUGCAUAUUGUGGCGUAAUACACGAACAAGGAACGAAGCCGUACAAGUAUAAUCAUAUGCAACAGGAAAAGCUUCAUAAAGGAAGCCCCCAAGUAAACGGGGUAUUUGAAUUUAUGCGUCACAAACAAAGUUUGGACAAGGAAAUUUUUUAGAAGCAACUUUUUUCCAAAAAAGUAUAAUGCUUGGUCGAACCGAACGCAAGCUAGAAAUUAAAGCUUUGAGCAUGAAAGCGACUUAGCUGGUUAAUGUGUUCGGUAUUGAUGACGCGGUCCGAGCUUGAUGCGGGGCAAGGUUCCAUCCCUCAAGCCGGCCCCAAGGUGGCGGAGCGAAGAGCUUGACACAUCGAAGUGGUGACAUAGCACGAUCAAUGCAGACCGACAGAGUGACGCCGAAGUCCCCGGAUCAUUUUCCUGUGCACAAAAAAUAGUGCAAACCGGAGAUAAUAGUAAUAAUGAUAAUUAAAAAAAUCAUUGCAUAAUAAAUAAUUUAUGCAAAGUGAGUAAUAAAAGAAAUAUGGCCUGGCGCCGAAGUCAAGUCGAUACAGGGCGUUGGCGUGAUGUGGUAAAGGCGUGGCAAAGCCUGAAUUCGCAGGUCGGUCCGAGCUCCGAGUGCGGCGUUCGCCGGACUAUGUACGGAAACUGACCGAACCACCAUGCGACUGUCGUUAAUGCAGCCACCAUUUGAUAGACCCGUGUACAUAUGACGGACAAAUCAGAGUAAUAAUUCCUUGGAAAAAUGAACCCAAACAAGCAAAAAAUACUGGGAUUAAUAGCACCUGGUUUAUUUGUUGUAGCAAUCCGAGGGAAGGUGAUUCCUAAAAUUGGGACCCGCUCCGCACACCCAUUGCCUGAUGGGUGAUAAAACGACGGCAUGGCAAUGCUGGUAAAGAUUGACUCGGCGAGGCAAAGCCCUCGGCCCAGCUAGCGUGACGGAGCUGGUCGGCUAGUGACGCCGAAGUGUCCGGAGUAGGUUGAUGAAGAGAUGGCGAAGCCCCCGGUCCAGCCGAGAUGUCAAAGCCUCGAUGUCAGCCGAUGAGUCGAAGUAGGUCGGCGUGAUGGACACCAGCUUGAAGAAGCAACAGUGCGGCCCUAUCGAUGCAGGUCGUGACGUGGUCGAUGCCGACUUGAUGAAGCGACCGUGCGGCGAUGCCGGUAUGCCCGCUCCGUGUAAUCCAUGGGGCGGCGAUGUUGGUGAUGAUUUAUCCUUCGCAAUGCCGGGCUCUUGUUCGGCUUGUCGAGAUGAUGAUCCGAAGAAGUUGAGCUCGGCUCAACAAAGUGACGCCGUGUUUAGCGCAGGUCGGCAGCUGUGGAGUAAUAUUGCCGGACUGGUUUGACACCAGCAUGAUGUUGAAGAUCAUGUUCAAAAGAUCUUACAGUUAGUGGGAUGUGUUCGGGAACAAAACACAAUACCCCAUACAAAACUUCCUUCAAAAGGGAUGUCUGAAAUACUGUUCAUAAAAAAGAUGAACUCGGGUCGGAUUCGUUUUCGCGCAGAAAAUAGAUCCGAAAAGUGAUGCACUAAUCGGAAGGUUCCCGGAGUUUGGACGGUCGGAUCGAGCCGAAAUUUUGAGAGGUGUUAGAUAUAGGAAUUCCGCAGCCGAUCAACGGUUGGAUCUUCCAAAGGACGUCCGAGCUAGAAGCUGGACAGCACGCCCUAAACUCAUACAACUUCCCGUCUAGAUUUGACAGGGCUCCGGUAUAUCAUGGAUUGCCAGAGAUUCCUCCAUCGGAACUCGACGAAAUUUUCCAGGGUUGUUGUAGACUCAAUUCCGAACAAUUCCACCAAAGCGAUCGUCAAAGUGAUACUCAAGGAAGUGGUGGUGGCAGAUACGAGUUCGCUGUCCAGAAAAACAGCACGGUCGCUUGAGGGCAAUGUUGACGUUGAGCCCCCGAGCUCCAUAGAUGAUUCCUCCGUGAUCUUGAUAGAGAUCGGAGUUGAUGUUUGAUGAAGGCCCUCGUCCGGACAUGGUGAUCCAAACACGGGGCGCAAUUCUUGGUCGAACCAAGGUGACCAGUCGAGCUGGUGACGAAGAUGCCGAAGUCGCAGUUGAUCUGCAGGCGAGCCAUCGAUCCUUUUGUCGAUCACACAGCGGAACUCUCAAUGAAAGCACCAAUGUCGGUGUCAAAAUCGGCGGAUCUCGGGUAGUGGGUCCCGAACUGUGCGUUUUGGCCGGAUGGUAACAGGAGGCAGGGGACACGAUGUUUUACCCAGGUUCGGGCCCUCUUGAUGGAGGUAAAACCCUACGUCCUGCUUGAUUAAUAUUGAUGAUAUGGAUAGUACAAGAGUAGAUCUACCACGAGAUCAAGGAGGCUAAACCCAAGAAGCUAGCCUAUGGUAUGAUUGUUGUAUAUAUUGUAUAUCUAUCGACUAGCCUGGCCUCGGUUUAUAUAAUGCACCGGAGGCCUAGGAUAACAAGAGUCCCAGCCGAAUACGCCGGUGGGGAGAAGUCCAUGUCUUGAUCGCCAAGUCUUGUGGAAUCUUCCUUGUAUGCGGUAACCGUCCGAACUGGCCCAUGAGUAUACGGCCACGGGGGUCCUCGGCCCAAUCUAAUAGAUCGAGAGACGACGUGGUGAGUACCCCCUAGUCCGGGACACCGUCACCUAUUUUCUAGCCAACCUGAAUCUCGAGGGUGAGAUUCAUCUUAAGGGGGUAGGUUUGUAACAUCCCAAAUUUUCAAUUUGGAAUGUUAUACAUUAUAUCAUCUAUGCAUAUCAUAUUUUAAUUUUUGCAUUUUGGUAGAUCCUAGAAAUUUUACGCAACUCAAGGACCCACGGAGAGAGUUGGAGAUUUCGUUAUUUUCAUAUUUGAGUUUUUUCAAAUUUUGAGAAUAGGAUCAUUUGAUUUUGAUAUUUUAUCAUCAAUUAUUUCUAUUACAAAAAUAUGAGAGAGGGAAUAAAAUGACUUUCCCAAAAUAAAAAAAUAUUGAGGAUUUAAUAAUAAAAUCAAAUAAGAUUUUAUUUCGGAGUUUUUCGUUAUUUUAUUUGAAUUUAGGAAAAAUAUGCGUUUUUCAAAAUUGCAUUCAGGCCCCAAAUAAAUGUUCACCUUGUGCAGCUUGAUUUUAGAAGCCCGGGAAAAUUUAUUUCGUGAUUUUUGGAGUCUGUUUAGUAUUUCUUUUUAUUUUUCUUCUGGGCGUAAUUAUUUUAAAAAAAACGAACCGACCUAGGGGUCGUGUCCGACCCAGACUCCCGGCCCGCUAGGAUUUAUAAGCAGGGGGGAGCCCAGCCAGCCUCAUCCCACGCCCUCCGAACCCUAGCCAGCGCCGCCGCCAGCGCCCGCCGUCGCCGCCUCACGCCGCCCGAGGUGCGCCUCGGUAUCCGCGCCAUUUAUUUUUUUAUUGUUUUUGAAAAACCGUUUGGUUUUUUCGUCGGUUUUUUAGGUUCGGUUUUUUUAAUAGAUCGGUUUUUCCGAUUUAUUUAUUUAGCGAGCGUUCGUUCAUUCUAGUGAACUUUUGUCAUUUUUCUUUUUCUCGGAUUUAAUCCGCGAUUUUUCUGAUCGCGAUUCCUGAUCCGAUUUUCUUUUUAGUAUAACUUUUCGCUCGUUUAUCGGAAUCAGGCGAUUCAAGCGCCUGGAGUUUCGUCUUGAAACCCUCUAUCCGUUUAACCAACUUAAACAAGUUUUUGCUACUGUAAAAUUUGCCUUAGAUCCAGAUUAUUAGAACGAAGUUGUUUUCUUUCGCCGUUUGACUUUCGUUGCUUCGUUCGAUUUGAUUCUUUUUGCAAACCGGAGUUCUUAAGUUGAACCUUCUGGUUAGAUCUCUUAUUUGACUUUUACCUGUGCAUUAGAUGAGUACUUAUUGUAUGCUUGUUUGUUUGUCUGCGAUAGAAUACCCGGAGUGCGCCGCCUGUUACUUCGAAUCGCUAGGUUUCCCGGAUCAUCAGCAAGGCAAGUAACACUUUGAUCAUACCUUUCCUACUAUCCAGUUUUAUUGCAUUAGAUCAAUCCUCACACAUUGCAUGAUUAGGAUCUAAUUAAAUUGUGCAAUGGGAAGUAGUUGAGGUAGUACCUAUUACCUGUUUACUUACAAACCUUUGGUAGUUACUUCUACGUUUGAUUAUUAUGCCAUGCUAUGCUAGUAGACGUGGAUUGGGUGAGUGAUAUCCAUGACAGAUGUGAGUUUGUUAAUUGAUGGUUUAUCUAAGGUGGCAACUUAAACACACAUCUGGGUGGAUUGAGGCAUCUGGGUAUUCCAGGACUUGCCUGUUUUCUUUUGGACCGCCACCCAGGCUCAAAGGGAUCAUGAGACUAUUCAUACUAGAAACUUCCGUGUGCAGCCACAAGCUAUUAUGGGCUCUAGCAUAGUUGAUUAAGUCGUGUGAACUCUUACAGGGUAGACUAGAAGAUGUAGGGGAAAGUAGGUGUAACGGUCUAUCCAUCAUAAGGUGCUAGCACUUCUGAAAGACUAUGUCUCGGUCAUCCGUCUUCUCAAACACCAUGUAGUGCGAGAAACCAAACGGAGGCGAUCGAGUCUUGUGGGGAAAAGUGCGCAAACCUCUGCAGAGUGUAAUAAACUAAUCAUGGUUAGCCGUGUCCCCGGUUAUGGACAAUCUUGAGUAUCUAGUACUUGGAUUAUCAUGUGAAUCUCAACAUGUUACCCUAAAUUAAUUUUGUUGGGCUUUGUUAAUGAUAUUUUUAAUUGGGAUUGAGAAUGCUGUCAACCAUUCUCAAUGUUUAACAACUACCAUGAUAGUUAAAUAAAAUUUAUUCCUUUGAAGUAGGGAAAAAUUGGCUUUAUGCAAAACUAUAACCAUAGAGCUUUCCACCAGCCAAGUAUGCAUAUAGUAUAGUUGUUUCAUUUCAUUACUCUCUAUGUGCUACCUUGCCAGCAUAUUCCAUGUGCUGACCCGUUUCAGGCUGCAACGUUAAUGUUGCAGACUUUUUAGACGACGAUUAAGGAGUUUUUAGGUCGUGGUUCUAUACUCGGUGAUGCCGUUGGAGUUGAUGGACUCACUUAUCUUCCAAGCCUUCCGCUGUUCUCGUUAUUAGAUGGCCUUAAGCCAUAUUUAUUGUAAUAAGUGUGUGAUUGCUACUCUGUUAUAAAUCCUCCAAGUACUGUGUGGUGUCAGCAUUACUGAUCCAGGGAUGACACCGUAGCACAGAGAUCAGACUGUUUGAGGUCUGGUCGCUACAGAAAUGGUAUCAGAGCACACGCUGACUGUAGGACACGACCACUAAGCUAAAGACCUAGAUCACUGCUCACUCUCUUCUCUUAUGACUCCUCAUCUUUUCUACUCUUUUAGGAUGGCGGAUGCAAGGAACAAGUUCACGCAACCGGAUGAAGAUACACCCUUUGGACGUCACUUGAAGGAAGUCACUAGAUACCUGAACAUAGGAGUACCAAGCUUCACCGGAACCUACAACGCCACUUUACCUGAAGAAGAGCGAUGGAUGAUUCAAGUUCAAGUUCCAGGAAGGACGUUCAUGCCAAUCAUUGAGCCCAUAGAGUUUUCUUUUGAUGCACCAACUUGGAGUCUAGGAAAGAGCAUGGCAGCUCACAUCGCCAUGGGACGCAUUAGAGAAGUCUACCGCAAUGAUCUCAAGGAUACUAUCUACCAGAUUUGUGGGUGCCGAGAUGAGAACUGGAAGAUGAUCAGCACCAGAAAGGAUAGAUCAAUUGCAGCUUUUAUCCAGGAGUUAAACCAGCACAUUCGACGACAAGAGAACUAGAUGUGCACCGACAUGAUAGAUCUGAAGAAGGCUAAGACAAGAAUCAAGGAGCUGGAGGAAGAACUUAAGGCUACACGUGAAGAUUAUGAAGAGGAAAUUGAAGUAUUGGUGGAAAAGAAUGCCGACCUAACUAUGAAGCUAGCAGUAUUUAUGAGAGACCCUACACCAGUAGAUGAAGACAAAGAACCCAAGGAGAUUAGCCCGGAAGACUACAUCAUCAUCGACGACACAGACUCGGACCCAGACGAAAGCGAUGAUGACUAUGUUGAUGAAGCUGGAGCAAAUAUCAUGGAGUCUGCAACCGACGAAUAUUUCUAGUAGACCACCUCAUCAGUAGUAGUAGUCCACCAUGUAAAUAUAGUAGUCCAAGCACUUUUGCGAUAGUUAGAUCGAUUGUAUGCCCUUGUUUGAUCGAAUGAAGUGAAUUGUUUGCUUUUGCCUCAUGUGCAUAUGGGUAGUGUUUUCUCUUUAGACCCCCUCUAUUCUUACAUCUCAUCUUUUCUAAACCCUCAGAUGCCUCCGAGACGUGACCCCGGAUUUACCUUUCCACCGGAGCUCACCCAGUUGAUCCAGCAACAAAACACUUUGAUGCAUUUGCUAGUCCAGAAUCAGAAUCAGGGGAACAACAACAACAACCCACCACACCCACCACACCCUGUUGAUCACUUAGCCCGUUUUCUUAGGCUGAAUCCGCCGGUGUUUUCCAGUAGCACCGAGCCGAUAGUGGCAGACGAUUGGCUCCGCAAGACAGCUAGAGAGUUGACCACAACAGGAUGCAUAGAUGCGGAGAAGGUGAAGUUUGCCGCACAUCAGCUUGAAGGACCCGCAGCAUCAUGGUGGGAGAAUUUCACAGACACUUUCCCUGUCGACACUGUCACAUGGGACCAGUUUCAGCAGGCUUUUCGUACGGCCCAUGUUUCAGCAGGAGCUAUGGCCAUGAAGAAGCGUGAGUUUCGCAACUUGCGACAAGGAGGAAGGAUAGUUGGCCAGUAUGUGGAGGACUUUAAUAAGUUAGCAUGUUAUGCCCCAGAUGACGUUGCUAUAGAUGCAGCUAAGCAGGAGAAGUUUCUGGAAGGAUUGAAUGAUGAGUUGAGCAUGCAGUUGAUGGUAGCAACCUUCAACAAUUACCAGGAGUUGGUAGACCAUGCUCUUAUGAUUGAAGGCAAGCAGCAGCAAAUUGAGAAUCGCAAGAGGAAGUAUGGACAAGGGAAGUACAAUUCUGGAGCUCAGCAAAAGCCACGUUUUACCCCUAGACCGGGAGGACAUUUUCAGCAUACCCAUGGGGGAGGUAGCUCGCACAAUCACAAUGGCACCAGGAAUGGUAAUGGGAAUGGAGGAAGCAAUGGCCAGAAUCGCACCAACCCAUCAACCCCAGCCAAGAAGGACCUGAGCCAAGUCACUUGCUUUAAGUGUUCGAAGACAGGACAUUAUGCAAAUGAAUGUCCUGAAUUACAAAAUGGAAAUAGCAAUGGAAGCUCUGGGAAGAAGCCAAACCCUUUCAACAGGGGACAGGUGAACCACGUAAACGUGGAUGAGGUUGAAGAGCAGCCUGAUGCCGUCAUCGGUAAGUUUUUGGUUAAGUCAUUUACUGCACUCGUUUUUAUGAUACUGGUGCAUCGCAUUCAUACAUAUCAAGGGGAUUUGUGGAUAAGUAUAACCUGCCCACUAAGGUUCUUAGAACACCUAUGCUAGUAAGCUCACCAGGAGCAGAGUAUAUGGCCAGUCAAGGAUGUUUUCAAGUGCCAUUGAGUAUAGGUAGGCAUGUGUUUCCAUCGGAUUUAAUCAUUUUGGAAUCACAAGGAUUGGAUGUAAUUCUGUGUAUGGAUUGGCUGUCGAUGUACGGAGGAAACAUUGAUUGCGCCAGUAAGACAAUUUUGCUUACCACCCCAGAAGGGAAAAGGAUCAAGUAUGUAUCCCGGCAUGUGCCAAAAGGGACUCAAGUAAAUUGUUUAACAGGAGUAGUGCAGGAGGAAGUACCAAUGGUAAGGGAUUUCCCUGAAGUAUUUCCAGAAGAGUUGUCAGUCAUGCCACCGAAUAGAGAUAUUGAGUUUUUGAUUGAGCUAUUGCCAGGCACAGGGCCAAUAUCAAAGAGACCAUACAGGAUGCCUGCAAAGGAUUUGGUGGAAAUUAAGAAGCAGAUUAAGGAGUUACUGGAUAAAGGAUAUAUUCGCCCAAGUUCUUCGCCUUGGGGAUCGCCAGUACUUCUAGUGGAGAAGAAGGAUGGAUCGUUAAGGAUGGUUGUUGAUUAUCGAGGAUUGAAUGAAGUAACGAUCAAGAACAAGUACCCACUACCAAUGAUUAAUGAUCUGUUUGAUCGAUUGCAAGGAGCUAAGGUAUUUUCCAAGAUCGAUCUGCGAUCAGGAUACCACCAGUUGAAGAUUCGAGAACAGGAUAUUCCUAAGACAGCUUUUACCACCAGGUAUGGGCUGUAUGAGUAUACCGUUAUGUCAUUUGGUCUGACUAACGCACCUGCCUAUUUUAUGAACAUGAUGAACAAAGUGUUUAUGGAGUUCUUGGAUAAGUUCGUCGUGGUGUUCAUCGAUGAUAUCCUGGUUUACUCGAAGAAUGAAGAGGAGCAUAAGGAACAUUUGCGAUUGGUACUUGAGAAGCUUAGAGAACAUCAGUUGUAUGCCAAGUUCAGCAAAUGUGAGUUUUGGUUGAAGGAAGUAGGAUUCCUCGGGCACGUUAUAUCCGGGGAAGGUAUAGCAGUAGAUCCCGCUAAAGUUGAUACCGUGACCAAGUGGGAAGCACCAACCACGGUUGGAGAGAUUCGGAGUUUUCUUGGACUCGCAGGAUACUACCGGAGAUUCAUUGAGAAUUCCUCAAAGAUUGCGAAGCCUAUGACGGAGUUAUUAAAGAAGGAAACCAAGUUCAUAUGGACGAAGGAAUGUGAGGCUAGUUUCCAGGAGUUGAAGAAACGUUUGGUUACCUCACUAGUGUUGAUUUUGCCAGACCAGACCAAAGAUUAUGAGGUGUAUUGCCACGCUUCACGUCGAGGACUUGGAGCAGUGCUUAUGCAGGAAGGGAAAGUUGUUUCAUAUGCCUCAAGACAACUGAAGCCUCAUGAGUUGAAUUAUGCUACGCAUGAUUUGGAGUUAGCAGCCGUAGUGCAUGCAUUGAAAACAUGGAGACAUUUCCUCAUUGGAAACCAUUGUGAGGUGUACACGGAUCAUAAGAGUUUGAAGUACAUUUUCACGUAGAAGGACCAUAUCGAGUUUUGGAGCGUGUGGGAGAAGUGGCCUACAAGUUGGAAUUGCUCGAAGGAUUGUCAGGAGUUCAUGAUGUGUUCCACGUUUCCCAGUUGAAGAAGUGCCAUGCGGAGAUGGCUGACAUACCUUUGAGAGAUACAGUGCCAUUGGAAACUAUUCAGUUGGAUAACGAUUUGACCUACGAGGAGAAACCAAUUAAGAUUCUCGAGUUUGCCAGCUGAGUCACUCGCAACAAGGUUAUCAAGUUUUGCAAAGUUCAGUGGAGCCACCACAUGGAGGACGAAGCCACCUGGGAACGAGAGGAAGAUUUGCUCAAGGACCACCCUCACCUAUUUUCUAGCCAACCCGAAUCUCGAGGGCGAGAUUCAUCUUAAGGGGGGUAGGUUUGUAACAUCCCAAAUUUUCAAUUUGGAAUGUUAUACAUUAGAUCAUCUAUGCAUAUCAUAUUUUAAUUUUUGCAUUUUGGUAGAUCCUAGAAAUUCUAAACAACUCAAGGACCCACGGAGAGAGUUGGGGAUUUCGUUAUUUUCAUAUUUGAGUUUUCUCAAAUUUUGAGAAUAGGAUCAUUUGAUUUUGUUAUUUUAUCGUCAAUUAUUUCUAUUACAAAAAUAUGAGAGAGGGAAUAAAAUGAUUUCCCAAAUAAAGAAAUAUUGAGGAUUAAUAAUAAAAUCAAAUAAGAUUUUAUUUCGGAUUUUUUCAUUAUUUUAUUUGAAUUUACGAAAAAUGUGCGUUUUUCAAAAUUGCAUUUAGGCCCCAAAUAAAUGUUCACCUUGUGCGGCUUGAUUUUAGAAGCCCGAGAAAAUUUAUUUCGGGAUUUUUGGAGUCCGUUUAGUAUUUCUUUUUAUUUUUCUUCUACGCGUAAUUAUUAAAAAAAACCGAACCGACCUAGGGGCCGUGUCCGNNNNNNNNNNNNNNNNNNNNNNNNNNNNNNNNNNNNNNNNNNNNNNNNNNNNNNNNNNNNNNNNNNNNNNNNNNNNNNNNNNNNNNNNNNNNNNNNNNNNNNNNNNNNNNNNNNNNNNNNNNNNNNNNNNNNNNNNNNNNNNNNNNNNNNNNNNNNNNNNNNNNNNNNNNNNNNNNNNNNNNNNNNNNNNNNNNNNNNNNNNNNNNNNNNNCAGCCUCAUCCCACUCCCCUCGAACCCUAGCCAGCGCCGCCGCCACCUCACUCCGCCCGAGGUGCGCCUCGGUAUCCGUGCCGUUUAUUUUUUUAUUUUUUUUCGAAAAACCAUCCGGUUUUUCCGUUGGUUUUUUAGAUUCGGUUUUUUAAUAGAUCAGUUUUUCCGAUUUAUUUAUUUGGCGAGCGUUCGUCCGUUCGUUCGUUCUAGUGAACAUUCGUCAUUUUUCUUUUUCUCGGAUUUAAUCCGUGAUUUUUCUGAUCGCGAUUCCUCAUCCGAUUUUCUUUUUAGUAUAACUUUUCGCUCGUUUAUCGGAAUCAGACGAUUCAAGCGCCUGGAGUUUCGUCUCGAAACCCUCUACCCGUUUAACCAACUUAAACAAGUUUUUGCUACUGUAAAAUUUGCCUUAGAUCCAGUUUAGUAGAACAAAGUUGUUUUCUUUCGCCAUUUGAUUUUCGUUGCUUCGUUCGAUUUGAUUCUUUUUGCAAACCGGAGUUCUUAAGUUGAACCUUUUGGUUAGAUCUCUUAUUUUACUUUUACCUGUGCAUUAGAUGAGUACUUAUUGUAUGCUUGUUUGUUUGUCUGCGAUAGAAUACCUGGAGUGCGCCGUCUGUUACUUCGAAUCGCUAGGUUUUCCGGAUCAUUAGCAAGGCAAGUAACACUUUGAUCAUACCUUUCCUACUAUCCAGUUUUAUUGCAUUAGAUCAAUUCUCACACAUUGCAUGAUUAGGAUCUAAUUAAAUUGUGGGAUGGGAAGUAGUUGAGGUAGUACCUAUUACCUGUUUACUUACAAACCUUUGGGAGUUACUUCUACAUUUGCUUAUUAUGCCAUGCUAUGCUAGUAGACGUGGAUUGGGUGAGUGAUAUCCAUGACAGAUGUGAGUUUGUUAAUUAAUGGUUUAUCUAAGGUGGCAACUUAAACACACAUCUGGGUGGAUUGAGGCAUCUGGGUAUUUCACGACUUGCCUGUUUUCUUUUGGACCGCCACCCAGGCUCAAAGGGAUCAUGAGACUAUUCAUACUAGAAACUUCCGUGUGCAGCCACAAGCUAUUAUGGGCUCUAGCAUAGUUGAUUAAGUCGUGCGAACUCUUACAGGAUAGACUAGCAGAUGUAGGGGAAAGUAGGUGUAACGGUCUAUCCAUCGUAAGGUGCUAGCACUUCUGAAAGACCAUGUCUCGGUCAUCCGUCUUCUCAAACACCAUGUAGUGCGAGAAACCAAACGGAGACAAUCGAGUCUUAUGGGGAAAAGUGUGCAAACCUCUGUAGAGUGUAAUAAACUAAUCAUGGUUAGCCAUGUCUCCGGUUAUGGACAAUCUUGAGUAUCUAGUACUUGGAUUAUCAUGUGAAUCUCAACAUGUUACCCUAAAUUAAUUUUGUUGGGCUUUGUUAAUGAUAUUUUUAAUUGGGAUUGAGAAUGCUGUCAACCAUUCUCAAUGUUUAACAACUACCAUGAUAGUUAAAUAAAAUUUAUUCCUUUGAAGUAGGGAAAAAUUGGCUUUACGCAAAACUAUAACCGUAGAGCUUUCCACCAGCCAAGUAUGCAUAUAGUAUAGUUGUUUCAUUUCAUUACUCUCUAUGUGCUACCUUGCCAGCAUAUUCCAUGUGCUGACCCGUUUCGGGCUGCAACGUUAAUGUUGCAGACUUUUCAGACGACGAUUAAGGAGUUUUUAGGUCGUGGUUCUAUACUCAGUGAUGCCAUUGGAGUUGAUGGACUCACUUAUCUUUCAAGCCUUCCGUUGUUAUCGUUAUUAGAUGGCCUUAAGCCAUAUUUAUUAUAAUAAGUGUGUGAUUGCUACUCUGUUAUAAAUCCUCCGAGUACUGUGUGGUGUCAGCAUUACUGAUCCAGGAAUGACACCGGAGUACAGGGAUCAGACUGUUUGAGGUCUGGUCGCUACAAUAAGGGGACGACCCGAUGGUGGCUUAGGGCAAGAAACAACCAAAUCGAUAACCAAGCCAGCGAGUUGAGCCCUUUGGAGACCGAAACUUCAGCAAUACCAAUCGCAACUAGACGUAGGCUUUUACCUUCAUCGUAAGGGACCGAACUAGUAUAAAAACUCUUUCGUGUGUCCCUUGUCCCGAUUAACCCCUUUAAACUUCCUAGUGCGAUGGCCCUGCGACUAAGUCCUUACUUUAGGACAUCUGCCGUGUCAACUCCACGACACAAUGUUUAUGCGAUUUGUGGUGUUAUUUCUCGUAAACUAGUGCCUUUUAAUGUCCAAAUGUUUGUACUAAGAGAAAAGUGAGUGGACGCUAGCUCGUGCUGGUGGCCUCGGCAGUGGACUGCAUGUGGUUCUGAUAAUCUUUUGUCACAAGAAUCCCCGUGGACAUCACAUGAAAUGAACAAGUGUUGCUGGCUUGCCAAUUGCCAUUCAUCUUUAGAUGUGACCCAACUAAUUGGAGCACGCCCAUGAACCCAUGUCACGGCCGGAUUGUACUUGUUCCCGUCGGCACUCUUAACACACGGAUCCCAGUGGCAUCAUGAUCCGGGCAGCAACAAAUCGGCGCGUGCUUGGAUGGCCGUGUAAAUGCCAUACGUAAUUGUAGUAGAGUACGAUGACGCUGCCGGGUGUGGGCAACGGAUCUCGUUGACACACCACGCCCCGGCUUCCUCGUUGACAGGGGAGGCCGUCCUCUCCUCCGUCGCCGCACGCGCGGGCGUGGCCCAUGACGUUUCCUCACCCCGGCGCGGACGGGACGGCACGGCACACCCCAGGUGCGGCCGUGCUGGGGGCGCCACCCGUUUCACCUGGCCCGUCCCGUUUUGUCGGUACGAGCUCAGCCGCGGCCGGCGGGGCAACCCGACUGGUCUACGCGCCGGCUCGAGCGGGACGCGCGGUCGGGCUGGUGCACCAGCGAGUGCUACGGCGCGGUACGGCGAGCUGGUGGCACGCAACUUGGCCCCGUGAGUGCCCCUGGUAAUUAAAGCCGCGGCGUGAAGCAUGGCCGCUGAUUGAUCGGGCGAGAGAAAGGGGGGCGAGCACCGCCACCCUCCGCCCGCGGGCCGCGGCAACGGGGCCGACCAAGCGGAAUUAAACCAGCGGGCGUGGACGGAGGCCAGCCUUUUUCGGAAGCGCGGUUGCCAUCCACGAGCCGACGCCGGCAGGAGGACGCGUGAGCAUUUAUGGGACGCGACCCUCCGUUCUUGUUUUCUUUGAGGUUUUCCGAUCCGAUGCUCCGGUUAUAGCCAGUUCGCCGGAGAGACACGUGCUGCCGGCCGUUACCGGUGGCUAUCGGCUUUCCCUCCCGGAGGGGGAUGGGAGGCGUUUUCGUAGGCUUUACCGUAGGCUUAUCGGCAUGGCAUAUUCUUGCGUCAUGGCCUCUCAUGGGUGGCUAGUGAUAGUGGACCGUAUGCAAAGCUGCAUGCUCACUAGACAAGGUUCACAACGCAACACAAGGUUCAGUUUUAGGUUCGCCUAUAUUCUGAACUUCAGUUUGUCAAAUUUCCUUCAACAAUGCCAUCUCCAAUGCUGACGUAGUUUUACUAGCACUGCCCUACUUCUUACUUUUAUUGGAUCCACCACAAGAGUCAUUUUCAUACUAUAUAUAUUUGAUGUUGCAUAGAUAUAUUAAUAUGUUCUCUAAACGUUUGGUCAAACAUAAAAGAAGUUUGACUUUGAAUUCUUUUAGAACUUCAACUAGUUUCGAAUGGAGGAAGUAAUGAUCCAAGUUGUGUAUAGGAAAAUCGUGGUCGUGUAUACAUAGUUUUGGAUAAUUUGUGGUUGUUUCCUGCAUUAGAGCCUAGUCAAAAGAAAAAAAAUCAUAAGAUUUAGAAGAUGAAAGAAGGGAAAAGUAUAAUAUAUUUGGAAAAUAUUAUAAAAAUAAGAAAAACAAGGAAAAGACAAACAAAAAUAGAUCACAUGAAGAUUAUAUUUUUAAAACAUAGCCACAUUUUUUUGCAAGAAUAUAUAUCCAUAUUUUAGAAAGCACUGCAAAAAUAUAUAUGAGAACAUUACAAAUGCAUAGUAAUAAUCAUUUUUAACAUAUAUAUUAGUAGAAUCACAUCAGCGGUACUUUUGCCUAUUAACCAUGUAUUACAUAUACCGUGAUAUUUCAUGAAUGCUUAUAGUUUCCUUCGAUGUCAUGGAUUCCAUGUCUCACUAAAAUAUGUCUGCAAGGCUACUUUGGUAUUUGUUUUUGAUUUUCUACAUUAAAAACCCCUAGAAUUUUUAAUAAACAAUUUUGGGAAAAGUAUGGCAUUAUUGUUGUUACCUUUUUUUGAAACUUAUGUAACUUCGCCCGUUUCCUCACAUUUUUAUAUGUUUUCUUUACUUAUUGUUCUUUUGAAUUGCUAGCCUGUGAUGCCUUGUGCGCCGCCACAUCAUCUAAAUCAUUGCAUUUUUCAGCAUUUGAAAGAACUUAAUAAUUGAGUGCCAACUUUGUCUGCUUUGAAGAAAAAAUUAACACCUUUCAGUAAGUUGUCAUCAUAAGGCUAAUCCAACACUCAUGAGUUCAAACAAAAAAUGAUUGUACACAUAUAGACACGCUCGUGCCUUUUGUGCGUUAUGAUGGAAAACAUGCCAAUAGUUCGAGGCCUAGUCCCACAGUAUACACACUUACAUAUUCUAGAUUCUUCUACUUGCUCAUAUCUAAGACAAAUAACCAUGCACUACAUAAAGGAAUAAAUAUAUUAUCUGUCGAGAUAUUUAGGGGUAUAAAAUAGACAAGACCCACACACACACACACACACACACACACACACACACACACACACACACACACACACACAAGGGAACAUGGUUUAACAAAGGUUUCUUAAGAAGUAAUGUCUCAAAACAUAAACAUGUAACACGGUCAUCACAACAAAAUAUAGAGGAAGUUCAAUUCACCUAUGUUUAUAGUGAUGUAUAUUAUAAGUAUAUAUCAAUAAAAUUAUAUGUUCAAGUUAAUGUUAUGUGGUUUAUUUUGCUAUGUGUGAUAAAAGAUCAGUGUGUAUGAGCUUAAUCGAGUGUGUUGUUAUAUAAAUGUCACCGUUAUUUAGUGGAGUUCAUCCAAUCUAAUUAUUGGUCUGGUUGUAAUGUACCCGAGCCCUCGGCCUUGCGGUUCGCGGAGAUGAUGUAAAACGUGAAUUGCUCGAGAGAUGAUGUCUUUCCUAUGUUAUUUAAUCCCCCUUGAUAUUGUUGAUUGGGAGUCUAGCAGUUCUUGUAACGAUAUAGACAAAUUGUCGUCAAAUGAUAUGUAUGCUUAUGCUAGAUUAUUUAAUAUAUUGUUGUCAUCUUGAGUGAGACAUUGAUUGUCGUUCGUUGUUUUACAUGCCAUGAGCGAGCCCAGUUCACUCAUUGAGUGACAUGGUAGAGCCGGGCUAUGGUGCUUUUGAGGAGCUUUACAACUUAUGUAUAACCAAUCUUUGGUUGGCACAAUUUUGUUGAUUUGAAUUCUGAAUAUUUGUAGCAUUCACCCCCGCACAACCAAAUGCGCUGCUUGAUCAUAACUAUCUUGAGCAUGGUGGUUUAUGUAAGGAUAACAUAAUUUAUGUGUGUGUGGACGAGUUGCUAUUAACUUACCAUGAUAUCGUUUGGUUCUAGUGCAACCAUUGUGGCGGUAGUUUAUUUAGUUGGUUCAUUUCACUUCUUUGCUCAUGCUAUGCCACUAAAUUUGAUGUGGAACAUUCUUUGUGCUUAGCAAAAUUGCACAAUGCAAGUGUAAAAUUUUGCUAAAGAAAAUCAUGUAGCGAGUACAUGGCUUUUUCUUGAUGUGUUUCCUUUCUUGUGUGGCAGGCACUUCGUUGAUAUCUAUGUUGAUGUGUUAUUUGGUAACAAUGGUGCUUUUGAACGCCAUCAUUCCUACAAUUAUAAAACAAUUAUGAUUUACUUAUUGGGCAAUGCUGGUAGGGGUUUUUAUACUUGCACCACAGCUUGCUCAACAAAAAAAGCAACACUUUGAGUGAAGUUCCUUUGAUUUACCUAAAUAUUGGUUCAAAGUCGCGCCAACGACAUGACAGUGAGUAGUUCUUCAAUAGAAUCUACUUGCAUGACAAAGGGUGGCGAUGGCUGGUUGGUUACAAGGGUGAUUUAUUUGCUUGAUGUCAGAUGAUGUAGUAGUUACACUGAAAUGAUGUUUUUGUAGAAUUUUACAUUCCAUGUUGAUAUAAAUGUUGUCUCUCUUGUUGUUUUGUUUGGAUAGUGGUGCAAUGGUUAUUACACACACACCGUCUAUAAGUUCAACAACUGCAAUAUGUUAGUCUUUGUUUUCAUACACAUGUAAUGGUGCUUCAAUUGCUGAAAUAUAUGCUAACUAGAUGACAAUAGCGUGGCCAUUCUAUAAGAACUGAGAAAGGGAACUCACUUUUAGUGAAUGUUUCAAUUUAUCUACUUGGUGUCCUAGAACCUGGUCUUUUAUGAUUCCUCCUUAUCGUUGUGAUUGACUUUUUAAUCACAUGAAACUUAAGAAGAGCACACUGCAUGAUAAACUGUGAUGCAAACCUAUCCAUCGACGCGGCCCCAUAGUCACCACACAUGUGCACUUCCAUACCCCAUAGCCACCACACAUGUGUACUUCCAUGGUACUACCUCCGUCUCGGUGAAUAAGUCAUUCACAUAGAGAGUAUGACCCCCAACAACUCAGGAAUAUAGUUUGGCAGAGUGACUAAAUGAGAAAAUAAUAGACAAACAAAAGAAGGUCACGACCCGUAACCCAUGGCUACCAAUGAGGCACACCACUCCCCGUUCACAUUUUUUAAGGUACUAACCCAUGCCAACAAUAAAACAAAAAAUUCGGCGGUGACAUACCAUAAAAAAGAGAUAGUACAAAAAUAUUUGCGUCUGGGUGAAUUAUCAUUUAAAUCAUAAAAGAGAAAGAGUUAAUAAUUUUUAGAAGUGGGUGGCGGAAAUACUGAUAUCAAUAAUUUACAUAUAUUUAACUAAUGCUACUAGAGCAAGCAUCUCAGAGUUGGAACAUACACUUUGAUGAGGUGAUCAAAGCAUUUGGGUUUAUACAAAGUUUGCAAGAAAGUGAGUGGGAGCACCACAACAUUUUGAUAAGUAUAUGUUGAUGACAUAUUGUUGAUCAGAAAUGAUGUAGAAUUUCUAGAAAGCAUAAAGGGUUGUUUGAAUGGAGUUUUUCAAAGGAAGACCUGUGUAAAACUGCUUACAUGUUGGGUAUCAAGAUCUAUAGAGAUAGAUCAAGACGCCUGAUAAGACUUUCACAGAGCACAUACCUUGACAUGAUCUUCAAGGAGUUCAAGAUGGAUCAGUUAAAGAAGGAGUUCUUGCCUGAGUUGUAAGGUGUGAAGUUAAGACUUGAAGCUCGACCACGGCAGAAGAAAAGAGAAAGGAUGAAAGUCGCCCCCUAUGCCUUAGCCAUAGGCUCUAUACGAUAUGCCAUGUUGUGUACUGCGAUGUGCCUUGCCAUGUGUCUGGCAAGGGGGUACAGGAGUGAUCCAGGAGUGGACCAUUGAACAGCGGUCAAAAUUUUCCUUAGGAAUAAGGAAAUGUUUCUCGGCUAUGGAGGUGAUAAAGAGUUCGGCGUAGAGGGUUACGUCGAUGCAAGCUUUAACACCUAUCCGGAUGACUCUGAUUAGCAAACCGGAUACGUAUAGUGGAGCAACCAUUUGGAAUAGCUCCAAGUGGAGCAUGGUAGCAACAUCUACAAUAUGACAUAGAGAUUUGCGAAGUACACAUGGAUCUAAAUGUUGCAGACCCGUUGACUAAAACCUCUCUCGUAAGCAUAACAUGAUCAAACCCUAGAACUCAUUGAGUGUUGAUCACAUGGUGAUGUGAACUAGAUUAUUGACUCUAGUAAACUCUUGGGUGUUCAUCACAUGGCGAUGUGAACUAGAUUAUUGACUCUAGUAAACUCUUCGGGUGUUAGUCACAUGGCGAUGUGAACUAUGAGUGUUAAUCACAUAAUAAUGUGAACUAGAUUAUUGACUCUAGUGCAAGUGAGAGACUGUUGGAAAUAUGCCCUAGAGGCAAUAAUAAAAUGGUUAUUAUUAUAUUUCCUUGUUCAUGAUAAUUGUCUGUUGUUCAUGCUUUAAUUGUAUUAACCGGAAACCGUAGUACAUGUGUGAAUACAUAGAUGACAACAUGUCCCUAGUGAGCCUCUAGUUGACUAGCUCGUUGAUCAAUAGAUGGUUAUGGUUUCCUGACCAUGGACAUUGGAUGUUGUUGAUAACGGGAUCACAUCAUUAGGAGAAUGAUGUGAUGGACAAGACCCAAUCCUAAGCAUAGCACAAGAUCGUGUAGUUCGUUCGCUAGAGCUUUUCUAAUUCCAAGUAUCGUUUCCUGAGACCAUGAUAUUGUGCAACUCCCGGAUACCGUAGGAAUGCUUUGGGUGUAUCAAACGUCACAACGUAACUUGGUGACUAUAAAGGUGCACUACAAGAAUCUCCAAAAGUGUUUGUUGGGUUCGCAUGAAUCGACACUGGGAUUUGUCACUCCGUAUGACGGAGAGGUAUCUCUGGGCCCACUCGGUAAUGCAUAAUCAUAGUGAGCUCAGUUUGACUAAAGAGUUAGUCAUGGGAUAAUGCAUUACGGAACGAGUAAAGAGACUUGAUGUUAACGAGAUUGAACAAGGUAUAGGGAUACCUACGAUCGAAUCUCGGGCAAGUAACAUACCGAUGGACAAAGGGAAUUGUAUAAGGGAUUCAUUGAAUCCCCGACAUCGUGAUUCAUCCGAUGAGAUCAUUGUGGAACAUGUGGGAGCCAACAUGGGUAUCCAGAUCCCGCUAUUGGUUAUUGGCCGGAGAGAGGUCUCGAUCAUGUCUGCAUGGUUCUCGAACCCGCAGGGUCUACACACUUAAGGUUCGGUGACACUAGAGUUGUUAUGGGAAAUAGUAUGUGGUUACCGAAGGUAGUUUUGAGUCUCAGAUGAGAUCCCGGACAUCACGAGGAGUUCCGAAAUGGUCCGGAGGUGAAGAUCGGUAUAUUGGACGAAGGAUAUUGGAGUCCGGAAGUGUUCCGGGGGUACCAGGCUAUGGCCAGCAUGACCGAAAGGUGUUUUGGGAGCCCUAACAAGUGUUGCAGGGCCUCAUGGGCCAAGGGGAGGGGACAAACCAGUCCACUAAGGGGCUGUGCGCCCCCACACCCUUUUCCCAUGUUACUUGGGGAGGUGGGGCGCCUCCACCUGGCUUGGGAGGCAAGCCUCCACCUACUUGGCUUGGGGGGCAAGUCUCCCUAGGGUUUCCCUAGGGAGAUCCAAUUUGCCCUAGCCGUCGCCCCCUAGGGGAAACCCUAGGGCGCCUCCCCCUCUUCCCUUCCCCCUAUAUAUAGUGAGGGGGUGGGAGGGCAGCCAUACCCUUCCCCUGGCGCAGCCCUCCCCCUCUCCAACUCCCCUCCUCUUCCGUAGUGCUUGGCGAAGCCCUACCGGAGAACCGCAAGCUCCUCCAUCACCACGCUGUCGUGCUGCUGGAGUUCUCCCUCAACUUCUCCUCUCCCCUUGCUGGAUCAAGAAGGAGGAGACGUCCCCCGGGCUAUAUGUGUGUUGAACGCGGAGGCGCCGUCCGUUCGCCACUAGAUCGGAUUUCCGCGAUUUGAAUCGUUGCGAGUACGACUCCAUCAACCGCGUUCUUGUAACGCUUCCGCUUAGCGAUCUUCAAGGGUAUGAAGAUGCACUCCCUCUCUCUCUCUCAUUGCUAGUUGAUCUUGGUGACACGUAGGAAAAUUUGGAUUAUUACUGUGUUCCCCAACACCAUAGGGGAGAGGCAAGGCAGCCCACGAGGGGGUGGCGCACGCCCCCAUGGGGAGUCCGAAUUGGACAAGGGGAGGGGGCGUGGCCCCCAUUUCCUUCUCCCUCUCCCUCUCCUUCCCCCUUUCCCCUUUGAUAGAAGGAAGGGGGGCGAAUAUGACUAGGAGUCCAAGUGGGAUUCCUCCCCACUUGGCGCGCCCUAGGCCGGCCUCCUCGCCUCUCCCUCCUUUAUAUACGGGGGCGGGGGGCACCUCUAAGGACAUCAAUUGUUUCUUAGCCGUGUGUGGUGCCCCCUCCACCAUUUACUCCUUCGGUCCAUAUAGUUGUAGUGCUUAGGCGAAGCCCUGCGUGGAUCACAUCACCACACCGUCGUGUGACGAAACUCUCCCUCAACACUUUGCUGGAUCAAGAGUUUGAGGGACGUCAUCGAGCUGAACAUGUGCAGAACUCGGAGGUGUCGUACGUUCGGUGCUUGAUCGGUUGAAUCAAGAAGAUGUUCGACUACAUCAACCGCGUUAAGCUAAUGCUUCCGCUUUCAGUCUACGAGGGUAUGUGGACACACUCUCCCCCUCUCAUUGCUAUACAUCUCCUAGAUAGAUCUUGCAUGAUCGUAGGAAUUUUUUUGAAAUUGCAUGCUACGUUCCCCAACAAUCCAUCUUUCAAGGUGAGGACUACUCGUAGUUCAUGCCUUGACAUGCUUGUAUUGUUCUGAUACAACCAUAACACCAUGUUUUCAUGCCAUUUCCAUUAUUGCAUUGGUGCAAUAGAAGGUACUGAUACGUCUCCAACGCAUCUAUAAUUUUUGAUUGUUCCAUGCUGUUAUAUUAUCAAUCUUGGAUGUUUUAUAAUCAUUUUAUAGUCAUUUUAUAUCAUUUUUUGGUACUAACCUAUUGACAUAGUGCCAAGUGCCAGUUACUGUUUUUUUGCAUGUUUUUUACAUCGCGGAAAAUCAAUACCAAACGGAGUCCAAAUGCAACGAAACUUUACGGAGAUUUUUUAUGGACCAAAAGACACCUAAUGGGCCAAGGCUGCGCCUGGGGGUGCUCCGAGGAGAGCACAACCCACCAGGGCGCGCCGGGAGGCCCAAGCGCGCCCUGGUGGGUUAUGCCCACCUCGGGUGCCCCCCGGACCGCCUCUUUGAUCUAUAAAUAUACCAAUAUUCCAGAACCCUAGGGGAGUCGACAAAAAUGAAUUCCAGCUGCCGUAGAGUCCAGAACCACCAGAUCCAAUCUAGACACCAUCACGGAUGGGGUUCACCACCUCCAUUGGUGCCUCACCGAUGAUGCGUGAGUAGUUCUUUGUAGACCUUCAGGUCCGUAGUUAGUAGCUAGAUGGCUUCCUCUCUCUCAUUUGAUUCUCAAUACAAUGGUCUCUUGGAGAUCCAUAUGAUGUAACUCUUUUUGCGGUGUAUUUGUUGGGAUCAGAUGAACUUUGAGUUUAUGAUCAGAUCUACAUUUUAUAUCCAUGAAAGUAUUUGAGUUUCUUUGAUCUCUUUUAUGCAUGAUUGCUUAUAGACUCGUAUUUAUUCUCCGAUAUUUGGGUUUUGUUUGGCCAACUUGAUCUAUUUAUCUUGCAACGGGAAGAGGUGCUUUGUAGUGGGUUCGAUCUUACGGUGCUUGAUCCCAGUGACAGAAGGGGAACCGACACGUAUGUAUCGUUGUUACUAAGGAUAAAACGAUGGGGUCUAUCUAUACAUAGAUAGAUCUUUUCUACAUCAUUUCAUCAUUCUUAUUGCAUUACUCUAUUUCUCCAUGAACUUAAUACACUAGAUGCAUGCUGGAUAGCGGUCGAUGUGUGGAGUAAUAGUAGUAGAUGCAGGCAGGAGUCGGUCUACUAAUCUUGGACGUGAUGCCUAUGUAAUGAUCAUUGCCUGGAUAUCGUCAUGAGUAUUUGAAGUUCUAUCAAUUGCCCCACAGUAAUUUGUUUACCCAUCGUUUGCUAUUUUUCUCGAGAGAAGCCACUACUGAAACCUACGGCCCCCGGGUCUCUUUUUCAUAUUAUUUUCCUUUGCGAUCUAUUUUCCUUUGCUUUUAUUUUCAGAUCUAUUAAACCAAAACACAAAAAUACCUUGCUGCAAUUUAUUUUAUUUGGCGUUCGAUCUAUCAAUAUUUACAACUCUCUCACGUCCGUUUGCCAAUUUCUGGCACCGCUACCCGAAAGGGAUUGACAACCCCUUUUACACGUCGGGUUGCGAGUAGUUGUUAUUUGUGUGCAGGUGUUGUUUACGUUGUGUUGCUUGGUUCUCCUUCUGGUUCGAUAACCUUGGUUUCACAUCUGAGGGAAACACCUACCGCCGCUGUGCUGCAUCAUCCCUUCCUCUUUGGGGAAAUACCGACGUAGCUUCAAGCGACAUCAAAAGGAAUUUCUGGCGUCGUUGCCGGGGAGGAUCUUCAACAUAUACCAGGUUCCUAAUCACAAAUCUCAUCUCCUCGCAAUUUACACUAUUUUUCAUUUGCCUCUCAUUUUCCUCUCCCACACUUCACAAAAAUUUGCCAUUUUAUUCGCCCUCUUCUUCGUUCACCUUUUUCUCGUCAGAUCUAUCUUUUUGCUUGCAAUCUUCUUUGCUUAUAUUGCCAUGUGCCUUCUAUUUGCUUGCAUCUUUGCUUGCUAAAAAUCUAUUGCAAUGGAUCCUCAUCCACUUGCUAAUCUUUUUCAGAGAUCCAAUUAUGAUGAACCAAUUGCUAGUGAGUUGAGUGCACUAGAUUAUGUUUAUGAAGUUUUGCUUGAGAUUCGUGAAUCUGAAAAUUGUAAUGAAGAAAUUUAUGAAGCGAUUCAUGGUAGCUCCUUAAGUGAAAAGCAUGAUUGCAAUGAUUUUACUAUAAAUUCUAUUAAUGUCAAUUGUGCUAAUAAUAUGCAAAACCCCAAGCUUGGGGAUGCUAAUUUUGCUAUGACCACUAUUUGUUGUAAUGAUCAUGAUUGGGGUGAUUCUUCUUAUGAUCCUGAAAAUUUAUUUAAGCCUCAUGAUGACUAUGUUAUUUGCAAUAAUUAUGAAAGUGGGUUUGGAGAGGUCAUGACUUUAGUUGAUCCCACUAUCUUGGAAGAUCAUAAAACUUUUAUGCAUGUGGAUCAUGAAGAGAAAAUUUUAUGUGGUAGCUAUAUUAUUGAAUUUGAUUAUGAUCAUAAAUAUCAUUAUUAUGAGAGAGGAAAAUAUGGUUGUAGAAAUUUUCAUGUUAUUAAAUUUCCUCUCGUUAUGAUGAGAUUGUCAAUGUUUUAUUCCUCUCCUUUGCAUAUGCUAGAUAUUUCUUGUCUUGACAAUUUGUUUGCUUAUAAAAUUCCUAUGCAUAGGAAGUAUGUUAGACUUAAAUGUGUUUGUCACAUGUUUCAUGAUGCUCUCUUUGUGUUUCAAUUAUUAUCUUUCGUGUGAGCAUCAUUGAAAUCUUAUGCCUAGGUAAGGGCGUAAAACUAUAGCGCUUGUUGGGAGGCAACCCAAUGAAUAAAAAUUUAUUUUUGCUUUUUUCUUUCUGUUCUUGAGUGUUGGCACAAUUAUGCUACUGUUAUGAUUGUGUUUUUUGUGUUUUAGUUAGUGUUUGUGCCAAGUAAAUCCUUUAGGAUCUUCUUGGGUGAUAGUUGUUUGAUCUUGCUGAAAAACAUAAACUUUUGUGCUUGCGGAAAUAAUUUUCGUUUUUAACCGGAGAGCGAUAAAAUACUCAUUCCUUCUGUAGUAGAUCAAUAUACAAAUUUCUCAGGUCGUCCUAAUUUUUCAGAGUUUUUGGGGUUACAGAAGUAUUCUAAAUAGUCAGAUUUCUACAGACUGUUCUGUUUUGACAGAUUCUGUUUUCUUUGCAUUGUGUGCUUGUUUUGAUGGCUCUAUGGUUUUCUUUGAUGAUUUUUUGCCAUAGAAAAGUUGGAAUACAGUAGAUAUAAUGCAAAAACAAAAUAUGAAUUGGUUUGAUACAAUAAUUAUAGUAGUGAUUUGCUUUCUUUUACUAACGGAUCUCACGCAGGUUUUGUUGAGUUUUGUGUGAUUGAAGUUUUCAAGUUUUGGGUUAUCUCACAAUGGAUGAAGGAAUAAGGAGUAAGAAGAGCCUAAGCUUGGGGAUGCCCCGGCAUACCAAGCUAUUAUCCAAAAGAGAGUAAACAACUAAGCUUGGGGAUGCCCCCGAGUGGCAUCCCCUCUUUCUUCUAAUGACCAUCGAUAUUUUACUCGAAACUAUAUUUUUAUUCGUCACAUACUAUGUGUUUUGCUUGGAGCAUCUUGUAUGAUAUGAGUCUUUGCUUAUUUUAUUUUGUGUUUUAAGUCUUGAUUCCUUGCUAGACACACCUAUUUGAGAGAGCCAAAAUUAUGUCAUGACUUGUUAGAAUUGCUCUUUAUGCUUCACUUAAAUUUUUUAUGAGCUAUGGACCUGCUCUAGUGCUUCACUUAUAUAUUUUUGAGCAUGGUGUGCUUUAGUAUUUUGAAAGAAAUGUUCUCUUGCUUCACUUAGAUUUAUUUGAGAGUUAGUAAAAUUUUCAAGAAAUUCUCUCUUCACUACAGGAAUUAGGAUCUUUGCCGUCCGCCAUGGCUGACAGCAAAGGCAUGGCUGGCGACGGCAAAGACCUUUGCCGUCAGCCAACAGACGACAAACUGUUCGGCUGGACGAACCAUGGCAAAGGGCUCUUUUCCGUCUGCUGGCUAACGACAAAGAUGUCGAGGCCUUUGUCGUCCGCUGGCAGACAACAAAGGGCAUGGACGGUGCACGUGGCAAGUUAGUUUUGUUAGGGGGUUAACGACGUCUUUUGCUGUUUGCCAGCAGACGACAAAGACCUUUUCAUCUUUGCCAUCUGCCAGUGGACGACAAAGAUGCAAAGGUCUUUGCCGUCUGCCAGCAGACAGCAAACUGACCAAAUAGGCCAGCCACAGUGCCCCCAGGUUGCACAAGUAGUUUCCACGUGGCAUGUUUGCCGUCUGCUCCCGGAUGGCAAAGCUCUUUGCCGUCUGCCAGUAGACAGCAAAGAGCCUGUACAACCCCUAUUUUUUCCGUUUUUUUGUUAAAUUCAUUCAAUUUCACAGAAUUUCACAGAUAUAUAUAACAAGUUUCCAACAACAUAUAUAUUACAAGUUUCCAACAACAUAUAUAUAACAAGUUUCCAACAACAAGUUAUCCAACAACAUAUCCAACACAAAAUGGUUUCAUCCAUCCAUACAUAUCCAACAACAAGUUUGCAAAAAGUUUCCAAAAACAUAAAAGAAGCACAAGGAGAAGAAUGGACUCCAUGAACGCAAGCUCCUCAUCUAAAGCAAAUCUGCAAAUUGGGAAAGAAGAAAGUUAGAAGAAGAAGAAGACUAGUUAGAAGAAGAAGAAGAAAAAGAAAAAGAAGAAGAAGAAUUUUUCUUCUGUUUCUUUUUCUCCUCUCCUCUUCUUUAUCUUCUUCUUCUUCUAACUAAGGUAGGUAAAAAUGUCAUUUUUUGGCUAUGCUAAGUAAAAAUGCUAAGUGUAGGUCAUUUUAGAGCUAAGCUAGGUAAAUAGGUCAUUUUGGAGCUUAGUAAGGUUAUUUUGUCAUUUUGGAGGAAAAUAAGCUAAGUCUAUGCCAUCUUGGAGCUAAACCAAGGUUAUCAUGCCAUUUUUACCCAAGUAUGCUAAGUAUGUCAUAAAUGAACUGAAGAAGCUAUGUAUAGCUCAUUUUUGAGCUAACCUAUGUAGUUAUGACAUUUUGGAGAAAAAUGCUAAGUAUAGGUCAUUUAAUAGCUAUCCUAGGUAAAGUAUGUCAGUUUCGAGCUAAGUAAGGUUAUUAUGUCAUUUUCGAGGAAAAUAAGCUAAGUCUAAGUCAUUUUGGAGCUAAACCUAGGUUAUUAUGCCAUUUUUUACCCAAGUGAGCUAAUUAUGUCAUAAAUGAACUAGCUAAGCUAAGUAUAGAUCAUUAUUGAGCUAUCGUAGGUAGUUAUGCAUGUUUUAGCUAACUAAGCAUAUCAAGUCAUUUAGGAGGAAAAAUGCUAAGUAUAGGUCAUCUUAUAGCUAUCCUAGGUAAAGUAUGUCAGUUUGGAGCUAGGUAAGGUUAUUAUGUCACUUGGGAAAACUUACCAUCAUCACGGAGGUGAAGGACCAGUCAGGUGUGCACUAGUGCCAGACAGAGAAGGACCGGUCGGGGUGCGCAGUUGCGAGAUGGAGAAGGAUCGAUCGAUGCUUGUCGGGAGGCAUGCUGCACCAAAGAUCAUUUGCAAUGUCUCGUUAGCAUGAUGCAACUGAAAUGUGAAUACUAGUAACUAAUGAAACUCACCGUGUCCGCUAUACCAAUCUGGGGCAUCGACGGAGGGGUCUGACCAUUUUUCUCGCACACGGACUGCACAUUUUGUUUUCACGAGUCAGUCAUAUUAGUUAGUAAUGAAACGAACAUUACAUGCAUGAUUUGGCUAAUAUGCAGGAGAAACUUACCACGAGGAGCUCGUAUAGGGCCCGGUGACCCAAGUCGUUCCGGUUCCUCUCCUCCUCCAUCAUCCUAGCCGUCCUCUCCUCCAACUCCUUCUCCCUCUGCGCCGUCUGCCUGUUUGCCUCCGCAAGAAGCUCCUGGGCCCUAGCCUCGAUAGCAAGCUCCAUUGGCUGUGGACGAGGACUCAUCUCACGAAGAGAACUCGUCUGGCGCUUCUUGAUCUCCUGGAGAGUUCUAGGACACCGUAUCAGUCCAUCCCCAAUGGCUGCUAAGCCAUGUUUCCACCCUUCACCAGAUAUCAUCACAAGCUCUAGAUCAAAAGCACUCUAGCUCGGGUUGAAGUCAUCCCCUUCCAUCGCCUUCUCAAAGUCUCUGUACCUCACGAGCUUAUUGUGGGAGGAGAUGUUGGUGAAGCUCUCUGGAUGAUAGAGGUCAGACUCAAAGAAUGCCUUGGUCUUCUUGUACGGGGCAGUAUGGGCCAUGGCAUAGAGGUCGUACAGCGGUGGCACCUCCUUCUUGUUGUGAUGCGCCUAAAAGAGAGGAACAACAUAUUAGUUAAGGGCUCAAGCUAGCAUGAAGAAUGAAAUUGCAUGAAUCGUGAAGCAAACCACAUACCCAGUGAUCCCGGUACUCAAAUAGGUUGGAGCUCCCUUGAUGGUGUGGCACACCUCGCAUUUGGGCACGCUUAUCCCUGGCCUUGUUGUGUUUGGCUAGCCAUUGGGGAGAGCACCACUCAUCCACCAACGCCUCCCAACAGUCCAUCAUAUCCGCACACCAUCUCGGGAGCACCUAAGUUUGACAAAGGGAAAUUUCAGCGCUACGCCUACGAAUGAAAUCAGAGAAACUAAGUACAAGGCCUUAAGAAUAGGUAAUUACCUUCAUGUACUUCUCCUUACUCAGAUACUUGCCGCGACACUUCUUCUUGGCCCUCCUAAUGUUAGUCAAGGCAUAGUAGUCUCGAACAACCUACACCCUAGCCUCAUGCCGUAAGUUCUGAAGUAGGCGCUUGCACUCGGCUUCGAGAACCCUAGCCGCCUCCGCCUCAUGUUCCUCAAAACACCUGUAGAAGGUAUGCAAUCGAACAAGACAACACUGAUUAGUACAAUCACUAGGUAAUGUUUAUUAUUAAUUAUGUAAAGGAGAAAUUACCCAAAACCACCAUGUCAUAAUGUCGGCCACCGUCUCGCACAAGACAUCAUCGACCCUCUCCUCCGGCGGGGCCGGGGCAGCCACGUAUAGCUCCCAACGCAGUGCUAGAUGUGGAACCUGACCCUCACCGGGCAAUGUGACCCACCCUGGGAAGUGGUGCCGGCAAAGCACACCAAGGACCUGGUUAGGCCUGCGGACACCAUCGGCGUGUAUCCAACCCCUGCAGUAUGACAAGGCCAACACAUUAGAUAUUAAUUUGAAGAAACAUGAAGGACAAAGGUUAAAAAAGAGUAAGUGCACUUACUUCUCCCUGUUAGGCUAAAUGAACCACCUCUGAUUGCGGGUCGCCGACACGGCCGAGAUCUUCGUACCACCAUGCUGGUAGACCUUCUUGCCCUGCUCAACGAGCUCGCCCUCGCUAAAACUAUUGUCAGACCAGGUCUCCUCGCCAUCAACAUGGCCACUAGUCUCCGGAGUCACAUGGGACGAAGACUCUAGGACCCGAGUCUCCUGGGAUGAAGAUUGUGGGACCCGAGUCUCCUGUGACGAAGGCUCUGGGACUCGAGUCUCCUGGGAUGAAGGCUCAUCGACCCGAGGCUCGUGGACUGGAGUCCAAGAUGGGUCCACCUGAGACGGAGCACUACGAUGGUCCGGAGAAUCAGCUGGGGGUGGCGGCAAGGAAGGCGCAGCAACCUUCCUACCUCUCCCGCCGCUACGUCCACCUCUAGCAACCCUCUUCAGCUUCCCCUGACCUCUCCCGGCUGAAGAAGAAGCGCCCGCCGGUGUCUGCAUACUGUCAUCCAGCGCUCUCUGGAGGUGCUGGGGUGGAAUAAUAACACCCCUCCCAGCACACCGAGGAAGAAGCCUCAGAGCGCUCUUGACCCACGCCCACCACUUGUUAACACCUGCAAUGACAAAGAGUAAACGAAAUUAGUACAACGAAAUUAGUACCCCUCGACACCUUGAUCCUUGACCCAUAGACCCUCGACUCCUUUUCCCCUCGAUCCUCGACCCCUUGACCCCUUUCCCCCUUUUCCCCUUGACCCCUCGACACCUCGAUCCUCGACCCCUAGACCCUUGACUCCCUUUCCCCUCGAUCCUUGACCCCUCGACCCCUCGACACCUCGAUCCACGACCCCUAGACCCUCAACUCCUUUUCCCCUUGAUCCUCGAGCCCUCGACCACUCAGCGACCCUCUUUUCCCUCGGCNNNNNNNNNNNNNNNNNNNNNNNNNNNNNNNNNNNNNNNNNNNNNNNNNNNNNNNNNNNNNNNNNNNNNNNNNNNNNNNNNNNNNNNNNNNNNNNNNNNNNNNNNNNNNNNNNNNNNNNNNNNNNNNNNNNNNNNNNNNNNNNNNNNNNNNNNNNNNNNNNNNNNNNNNNNNNNNNNNNNNNNNNNNNNNNNNNNNNNNNNNNNNNNNNNNNNCUACUUCCUUUUUCAUCUUCUACUUCUACUUAUUUUUUUCAUACUUCCUUUUCUUCUUCUUCCUUCUUCUUCAUUCUUUUCCUUCUUCCUCUUGUCUUCCUUUUCUUCUUUAUUUUUCUUAUUUUCCUUCUUCCUCUUGUCUUCUUUUUCUUCUUCAACUAAUCAACCUAAAUCAACUAAUUAACCUAAAUCAACUAAAAUCUACUAACCUAAGAUAAACUAAAAUCUACUAACCUAAAAUAAACUAAAAUCUAUUAACCUAAAAUAAACUAAAAUCUACCUUUUUCUUCUUUUCUUUUUUCUUCUUCUUUUUUCUAUAUUUUCUCCUCCUAGUCGUUUUAGGUCUUCUUUCUUUCUAUUAUUUUCUUGUUCUUGGGCUUAUAUCUAACUAAGUAAUUAACCUAAAGAAACUAACUAAGUAAUUAACCUAAAAAAUAACGAACUAACUAAUUAACCUAUGUACAGUAGGGUAAAACAAGUAACUAAUUAACCUAAAAACUAACUAACUAACUAAUUAACCUAAAUCAGAAAACAACAAAAAAGACAGAGAAAAAGGAAAAGGAAGACUCACCAGGGGGCGGAGCGGCGCCGGGCGACGGGCGGCCUGAGCGCCGGGGCGCCGGGGCAGCGGGGGGUCGGGAGCGUGGAGCGGAGCAACGAUGGGCGGCGAGGGCACAAGGCGGUUGGGGGUCGGGGGUGUAGGCGGUGGGGUCAGUGGGGGUCGGGGUCAAUGGCGGGGCACAAGGGCGGCACAGUCAGGGAGAUAGAGAGAGGGGAGAGAGAGGGGUGGGGCGCGGGGCGACCAUUUUUAGUUAGGUUUAAUUUCUUUGACGUCUGCUAGCAGACGACAAAGAGCGUAGCUAGUGGGGUGGGGCCGAGGGGAAACAUCCGUUAGCUUGGCUAUUCUCUUUGCCAUCUGCUAGCAGACGACAAAGAAUCUUUGCCGUCAGCGAGCGGACGACAAAGAAAGUGGUCGUUAGGUGGUUCUCAUUAGUGGGCCACCUUCCCUCUUUGUCGUCGGCUAGCAGACGGCAAAGGGCUAGCUAACGGCAAACAUCCUGUUUGUCGUCCGCUCUUUCUUUGCCGUCAGCUUUCUGUAAGCUGAUGGUAAAGAAAGUCUUUGCCAUCAGCUAGCGGACGACAAAGAGCUAGAUGACGACAAAGAUCCUGAUUCAGUAGUGCUUGCUUCACUUAAAUUAAUUUGAGAGAAAGAAAAAUUUAUGCUCAUGAUCUUCACUUAUAUUUUUGAGCUUGUCAAAAGCAACAUAUGAAAAUUAGAUCCAAAGUGAUAGGUAUCCAAGAAGGAUAUAAUAAAACUUUCAUGAAGAUCAUUGGACAAAAUAAACUUGAUUCUUAGUAAUAGUUUUGAGAUAUGAUGAUGUGAUAUGUGAGUUAUGUUGAUGAGUAAUUAUGCUUUAGUAAGAAUAUUGGUGUUAAGGUUUGUGAUUCCCUAUGCAAGCACGUAAGUCAACAAUUAUGCAAUGAAAUUACAUCCUACUUGUGGUGCAUUAUUCGGUGUUAAUUAUGCUUAAUGCUCGCUUAUGAGAUUAUUCGUUUCUUGGUUGGUCACUUCUCAAUAUUUUGCUAGCCUUCAUUCCGCACUAAGUAUGAUCUCUACUUGUGCAUCCAAAAACCUUUAAACCAGUUUUGCCACAUGAGUCCACUAUAUCUACCUAUAUGCGGUAUGCUUUUGCUGUUCUAAGCAAAUUUGCAUGUGCCAUCUCUAAUUUUCAAAAUAAACUUCUCUUUUGUGUGUUCGUUUCACUCGCGGAGUGGUGAGGGGUGGCUAAUAUUUUCCAUGCUAGGUGUGUUAUUCUCACGAUGAGUAUUUAUUCACUUGUCAUUGCACGAGAGUAAGGCAAAGGUAUUAGGGAUGCCCAGUCCCGAAAUGAAAAAUGAAUUUACUUUAUGUUGUCAAAUAAUAAAUUCCUUGGAAAGUGUUGGUAUGGAGGGUAACCAUGGAUACGGCUAGCCAUGGAAAGUGAAAGUAUGGUUGAAAAAGGAAUAAACUUUAUUUUCUGUUUGGGAACCGCCUAUGAUAUAUUUAGCAUGGAAAGUGUUGGGAACUCUAAGUCGUUUUCGUUGGUGGGAAGGACACACCUCCCUAAAUGAUGUUAUCUCUAAGUUUUUUGCUUUGAGCUCUAGCACCUCUACAAAUCCCUACUUCCCUCCGUGAAGGGCCUUUCUUUUACUUCAUGCAAUUUUAUUUUUGAAUUUGAGUCUCCAUCUUCUCUUAUAAAAGCACCAACUAGGAGGCACUAUGAUCGUACUUGAGAAUUGGGUGUAGUUAAUAUUCUGCCAGCAAAUGAGGACCCUAUGCCCUUUGAUGGCAACCCGCAUCCUCUCCCUGGACACCUGCAGUUUCAUAACCAUAACUGGGUUAUGCCUGAAUUUCCUGAAAUUGGCUGGGAUGAGUUACCUCCACCAGAGCAUAACCAUGAGCCGCAUCACCAGGAUGAGCCACACAAUGUGCAGCAGGAGAUGGUGGAUGAAAAUCAAGUUGUGGAGCAAUCGCAGGAGUCCAUGGUCCUGCAAGUUUCAAAUGAUUCAGUCAAUAACAUGCCAGUGGAUGAUUUUGUCAUUGUUCAGCAACCUGGGGCUCCCUUGCAUCCUCCCCUGCAUAUUGGAUAGGUGCUCAUAGUCUUUGGGCCUAUCUUCCCUCCAGACAUGUUGUGGCAGCGCUCAUUUCAGAAGAUGAUGCCCUCUCUCUGCUUUUCUGAAAUCCCAAAGCUCAUGUUCAUGUCUGGAUUUGGGUCUCUUCUACUUUCUAGUAAGUCUUGGGAUGUUUCCUUUAAUGGAUAUGAUCUAAGCUUUGUUCUGCCACCUGUGCCUGCUUCUUCAAGUGUCAGUACUCGCCUGCUUUCUCCAGCAAAAAGGCCAGUUGCUCGGGCCCCGUGUUUUGAUGAUAUUUCUGAACCUGUAACUGAGUCUUUUGAGUUCACUGCUGCACCAAGGGUCACUCUGAAACGUGAACGCAAGAGAAAAUCUGCAGCCUUGGUAGAGACCGAGGUCCGUCACAGUGCACGUCUCAGUGCCUUACAGGAUGGCUACCGUUUGCCAAGUAGUGGCACCAGUAAAUCUACUGGUCUAAAUAGGUCUCCGCACACCCUGAAGAAACGCAAGACCAAGUCGGCUAGGUCUGAUGAGGAUGCUUCUGUGCCUCCACCAACUGCCAUUGUUGACCUUCAGCGUAUUGGGGCUCGUCUGCGCAUUGCUCCAGAGAAGAUCACUGCGGAUAAGCUUGUUGCUAAUCUGGCUCAACCUACCAGCAGCAACAGUUCUGAUGAUUGAGUGCAUAUGUCUGCUUUUUGGUCCAUGGCGUACCACUUUAAACGUCAUCUAUCUUUAUUUAUGUCUUUGUGUUUCGAACUCUGUCAUUUUUCUUUGCUUAGCCGGUCUAUGUGGAUCAUUGUGUGGUCUACUUUUGCUGCAUCGUCUUAUGGUUUGUAAUGAAUCAGACUGGGUUUAAAGAAUGGAAGGUUCUAUGUUGGAAUGUGCGUGGCCUUAAUUCUGAAGCGCGAUAGCUUGCUGUCAAACAGAAAAUUGAUGAAAGUGGUUGUUCAGUGGUUUGCCUACAAGAAACUAAGUGCAUGCAUAUUGAUCAUAGGUUCAUUAGAAAGUUCUGUCCUCACCGUUUUGACAAUUUUGCAUAUGUGCCUUCGGUCGGUGCAUGAGCUGGUAUGGUUGUUAUUUGGAAUUCUUCUUUUUUUGAGGGCAAGUUAAUUGAGGCCAAACCUUUUGGUAUUAUUGUAGAGUUUCUUUCCAAACAUACAUCUAAAGUUUGGAAGCUAGUGACCGUUUAUGGCCCUUGUCAGAGUCCUGCACGUGAUGAGUUUGUGCAGUGGUUAUAUAAUCUAGACAUUAAUUGGGAUUACAAAUGGCUUCUUUUGGGAGAUUUUAACUUUAUGAGGUCACUUGAAAACCAUAACCUGCCUGGUGGUAAUGUCAAUGACAUUUUUUUGUUUAAUGAAAUCAUAGGUCACUUGGGUCUUGUUGAGCUGCCAAUUAAGGGAAGGAAAUUCACUUGGUCGAAUAUGCAAUCUCAGCCCCUUCUUGAACAAAUUGACUGGUUCUUCACCUCGGCUGCUUGGACCUCGGAUCAUCCAAACACUUUGGUCUUGCCUCUUGCGCGAUCGACAUCAGAUCAUGUUCCUUGUGUUGUCACAAUUGCCACGACCAUUCCCAAGGCUAAAGUUUUUCGCUUCGAAAAUUACUGGGUUGACUUACCUGGCUUUAAUGAGUGUGUUGCACAGGUUUGGGGCAGCACGACGCGUAAAUCUACAACUGCUUUAACGAUAUCCGCUAAGUUCAAAGCGCUCAGACAUGCAUUAAAACAAUGGCAUUUAAAGCUCUCCACAGUUAAGGCGCUAAUUUCUGAUUGUAACAAAGUUAUUCUAUACUUUGAUGAGAUGGAGGAGAUCCGACCAUUAAGUUGGCCUGAAUUCAAUUUCAGGCGAAUAGUUAAGUUGCAUCUGCAGGAUAUUCUGCACUGGCAAUAUGUUUAUUGGAAACAAUGCUGCACGAUCAGAAGCAUUAAGGUUGGGGAGGAAAAUUCUAAAUUUUUUCACGCUAUGGCCACUGAAAGAUACCGAAGAAAUGCGAUUUCUUCAAUCAAGAAUUCGGCGGGUGAGGUGGUUUCUGAUCACCAAAUGUUGGCGGGCAUGUUUUGGUCUGAUUUCAAUCAGCGUAUGGGCCAUGCAAAAGGAAUACAAAUGGGUUUUGAUCUGCCCAAUUUAAUUCAGAGAGUUGACGGUCUGGAAGAUUUAUCUUUGCCGUUCACGGAUUCUAAGGUUGAUGCUGUAAUUAAGAACAUGCCGUGCGACCGUGCUCCGGGCCCUGAUGGCUUUACAGGUCUGUUCUUAAAGAGGUGCUGGUCUAUUCUCAAGGAGGAUUUUAUGCAACUUGUCAAUGAAUUUUAUGAGGGGAGGUGUAAUUUGGAAUGCCUUAAUAAUUCCUUAAUCACCUUGGUCCCCAAGAAGCUAAGUCCGGAAGUGGUUGGUGAUUUCAAGCCGAUAUCCUUGACAAACACAUGUUUAAAGUUUUUGACUAAACUGCUAGCCAAUCGACUACAAAAGGUGAUUCUCAGAUGUAUACACCACAACCAAUACGGUUUUCUUCGUUGCCGCUCUAUCCAAGAUUGUCUAGCUUGGUGUUUCAAAUAUAUUCAUCAAUGCAAAGCAUCUAAACGACCCAUCAUCCUCCUCAAGCUUGAUUUCACUAAGGCCUUUGAUACAAUUGAGCAUGAGGCCAUUCUCCAAAUCCUACAAUGCAAGGGUUUUGAUGCUCGUUGGACUGGCUGGAUUAAUAGCAUUUUGUCCACGGGUUCUUCUUCUGUUCUCUUAAAUGGUGUGCCAGGUAAUCAUUUUGUUUGCAGAUCUGGUGUACACCAAGGAGACCCGCUAUCUCCGCUAUUAUUUGUCAUUGCGGUGGAUUUGCUUCAGUCCGUAGUCAAUGAGAUGUGCUCGAGAAACAUACUCACUUUACUAAUCCCAACAAACUCCAAUGACUACCCGAUCGUACAAUAUGCGGAUGACACACUUAUUAUUUUGCCUGCGAUUGAUGACCAGCUGAUCGCUUUCAAGGACAUGCUCACCACCUUUGCAGCAUCAACUGUUUUACGCGUCAACUUUAGUAAGUCAUCUCUUAUUCCAAUCAAUAUGACUGAUGAAGAGGGCGCUCGGGUCGCCAACCUACUAGGUUGUGAUGUGGGAUCUAUGCCUUUCACAUAUCUAGGGCUACCUAUGGGUACUUCCAGACCCACGAUCUAUGAUUUGCUGCCACUUGUGGAUCGUAUUGAGCGAAGGUUGUCUGCUUCCUCCUGUUUGCUAAAUCAAGGCAGUCGGCUGCAACUGCUACAGUCUGUACUUUGUUCAGUGCCAAUCUAUUUCCUGUGCACAUUAUCUCUCCCUAAGGGCAUCUUGCAACAGAUUGAGAGAAUCAUGCAUCAAUGUCUGUGGAGAGGCAACACAGAUAAUCCUCGACAAUCCUUAGCUGCAUGGGAUCGGGUCUGCAGACCUAAGAAGUGUGGUGGUUUGGGUGUGCUUAAUUUGGGUCUCCAAAAUAAAACCUUGUUACUUAAGCAUCUCUUCAAGUUUUUUAACAGAUUGGACGUGCCUUGGGUCACAUUAAUUUGGGACACUUAUUAUGCUGCUUCACCGCCACAGGUCACACAGAGUUGUGGCUCUUUUUGGUGGAGGGAUGUCAUGAGCUUGUACACCAACUUCUGCAAGUUAGCCGUCCCACAAGUGCAUGCUGGCAACACGGUGGUAUUUUGGCUUGAUCGCUGGCAGCUGGGUAAUAAUGUGGUCCUUUUGUGCGAGCAAUUCCCUAGGCUUCAUUCUUUUGUCAUUGAUGACACAAUCACAGUCAGAGAGUUUUUGGAGCUUCCAGAGAUCUCGGAGCACUUCCAUCUGCCUCUGUCGCAAGAAGCAUAUACUGAACUAACUCAGCUUCAAGAAUUGCUCACUUUAGUCAACUUGAAUGAGGAGGGUAAGUACAUAUGGAAGUGGCCAUCCAAAUCUGGGGAGUUUAAAUCGAAGAUAUAGUAUGAGUCUUGUUUCUCCCAUUUGGUGGUCGAUCCCAUCUUCAAAUGGAUUUGGAAGUGUGCUUGCACGCUAAAGUUUAAAGUGUUUGGAUGGCUUCUUUUAGUGGACCGUUUAAACACUAGGGAUAUGAUGCAACGCAGGAACUGGAUCAUCCAGGAUGAUACGUGUGUUCUUUGCCUCUCUGCUACACAUGAGGAUCGUGCACAUCUUUUCUUUGCUUGCAACUUCAGCCAGAGGGUUUGGAAUUACCUUGGGAUUUCUUGUAAUGCUCAACGCAACCAGAAUACAUAUGACAUGGCUCUUGCCGCUAGGAGGGAUUUUGGUUAUCCUUUCUUCACUGAGGUGGUGUUUACUGCUACUUGGAACAUCUGGACUCAAUAGAAUGGGAAAAUCUUUAGAAAUGAGAGACCUACCUUCAUUUCUUGGAGGAGGAACUUCAUACAUGAUAUUUCCUUAUUAGCUCAUAGAAUCAAAUGUAAAUAUAAGGAUAGCCUAGUCUCCUAGAUAGCCUCUCUCUCAUAGAUCUCUUGUAAGUAUUUCUUUUCUUUGCUUUCUGGUCCUCUGUAAUUAUGUAGACCUAUUAUUUUUCUAAUAAAGCACUGUGAGGCUGUUGCCUUGCAGUACAUAGUCAAAAAAAAUAUGCGAGUGUGUUUCAUGAAUGGAUCAAUGAUUGAGCAUGAUGGCCUAGGUAUAGCUUAUUUUAGCGUUGAUAUUUUGAAAGACAUGGUUGCUUGUUGAUAUGCUUGAGUAUUUAAGAUAUCAUGUCAAAACUAGACUAUUGCUUUGAAUAGUAUAAAAGUCCAAAUGUCCAUGCUAUAAAGAAAACAAAUAUGAUAUGACAUGAUAGGCAUCAUUCCACAUCAAUAAUUCUGUUUUUACCACUUACAUACUCGAGGACGAGUAGGAGUUAAGCUUGGGGAUGCUGAUACGUCUCCAACGCAUCUAUAAUUUUUGAUUGUUCCAUGUUGUUAUAUUAUCAAUCUUGGAUGUUUUAUAAUCAUUUUAUAGUCAUUUUAUAUCAUUUUUUCAUACUAACCUAUUGACAUAGUGCCAAGUGCCAGUUGCUGUUAUUGCAUGUUUUUUAUAUCACAGAAAAUCAAUACCAAACGGAUUCCAAAUGCAACGAAACUUUACGGAGAUUUUUUAUGGACCAGAAGACACCUAAUGGGCCAAGGCUGCGCCUGGGGGUGCUCUGAGGAGAGCAAAACCCACCAGGGCGCGCCAGGAGGCCCAGGCACUCCCUGGUGGGUUGUGCCCUCCUCGGGUGCCCCCUAGACCGCCUCUUGGCUCUAUAAAUACCCCAAUAUUCCAGAAAAUCUAGGGGAGUUGACAAAAAUCAAUUCCAGCUGCCGUAGAGUCCAGAACCACCAGAACUAAUCUAGACACCAUCACGGAUGGGGUUCACCACCUCCAUUGGCACCUCUCCGAUAAUGCAUGAGUAAUUCUUUGUGGACCUUCGGUUCCGUAGUUAGUAGCUAGAUGGCUUCCUCUCUAUUGUCUGAUUCUCAAUACAAUGGUCUCUUGGAGAUCCAUAUGAUGUAACUCUUUUACGGUGUGUUUGCUGUGAUCGAAUGAACUUUGAGUUUAUGAUCAGAUAUAUCUUUUUAUAUUCAUGAAAGUAUUUGAGUUUCUUUGAUCUCUUUUAUGCAUGAUUGCUUAUAGCCUCGUAUUUCUUCUCCGAUAUUUGGGUUUUGUUUGGCCAACUUGAUCUAUUUAUCUUUCAAUGGGAAGUGGUGCUUUGUAGUGGGUUCAAUCUUACGGUGCUUGAUCCCAAUGACAGAAGGGGAACCGACACGUAUGCAUUGUUGCUACUAAGGAUAAAUGAUGCGGUCUAUCUCUACAUAGAUAGAUCUUAUCUACAUCAUGUCACCGUUCUUAUUGCAUUACUCCGUUUCUCCAUGAACUUAAUACACUAGAUGCAUGCUGGAUAGUGGUCGAUGUGUGGAGUAAUAGUAGUAGAUGCAAGCAGGAUUCGGUCUACUAAUCUUGGACAUGAUGCCUAUGUAAUGAUCAUUGCCUGGAUAUCGCCAUGAGUAUUUGAAGUUCUAUCAAUUGCCCGACAGUAAAUUUUUUACCCACCAUUUGCUAUUUUUCUCGAGAUAAGCCACUAGUGAAACCUACAGCCCCCGGGUCUCUUUUUCAUAUUAUUGGCAUUUGCAAUCUAUUUUCCUUUGCUUUUAUUUUCAGAUCUAUUAAACCAAAAAUACAAAAAUACCUUGCUGCAAUUUAUUUUAGUUGGUGUUCGAUCUGUCAAUAUUUACAACUCUCUCACGUCCGUUUGCCAAUUUCUGGCACCGCUACCCAAAAGGGAUUGACAACCCCUUUUACACGUCGGGUUGCGAGUAGUUGUUAUUUGUGUGUAGGUGCUGUUUACGUUCUGUUUCUUGGUUCUCCUACUGGUUCGAUAACCUUGGUUUCACAUCUAAGGGAAAUACCUACCGCCGCUUUGCUGCAUCAUCCCUUCCUCCUUGGGGAAAUACCGACGUAGCUUCAAGCGACAUCAGGUACUGAUGACCCAAAAGUAUAGGGGCUUAAUCGUAGUUCUUUCGAUAAGAGUGUCAAACCCAAUGAGGAGCAGAAGGAAUCGAUAAGCGGUUUUCAGCAAGGUAUUCUCUGCAAGUGAUGUAAGAUAGUUUGAUAGCAAGGUAAUCAACAACAAGUGACAAGUAACGAAAGUAACAAGGUGCAACAAGGUGGACCAAUCCCUAUUAUUGCUAAGGACAAACCAGAGGUACCACCUAUAGUGAUUUAAGCAUUCUCAAGGACACAACAAAAUUUGUCAAGUUACUUUCACCAAAAUUCAUUGACUCAUGUUCGCUAUUUUGAUAAGUUGUUAUGUGGGUGGACCAAAACUAAAGUGUUGUUCUUGCUUGAAGAAACAACCUACUUAUGAUUAUCCCUCCAUGGAAGCAUUCACAAAUACAAUAGAACAAUUAGGAUAAAUCUAACCAUAGCAUGAAAUAUAUGGAUCCAAAACAACCCCUUACAACUCAUCAAUUGGGGUUUUGGUUUCAAUCAUUCCUGCUACUUGUGAGCUGCGUUGGGAUUUCCUCGAAGAGGAGAGGAUGAUGCACUAUAGUAGAGAUAAGUAUUUCCCUCAUUUAAGAACCAAGGUUAUCAAUCCAGUAGGAGAACCACGCAACACCUCAUGAACAACACAUACACAUAAAAUAACAAAUACUUACACCCAACGCAAACAAGGGGUUGUCGAUCAAUCCCUUGUCAGUUAAUUGCAAGGAUCAAAUCUUGUAGUGAUAGAUAGAUAAACUAAACACAAGAUAAAAUAAAGUAAAUAAAAUUGCAGCAAUGUAUUUUUGAAUUUUUAUAUAUGAUUAAAAUAGACCCAGGGGCCAUAGUUUUCACUAGAGGCUUCUCUCUUGAAAAUAGCUUAUAGUGGGUAAACAAAUUAUUGUUGAGCCAUUGAUAGAAAAGAGAAUAAUCAGGUCGAUAUCCAAGGCAAUGAUCAUGUAUAUAGGCAUCACGUCUAAGACAAGUAGACCGGCUCCUGCCUGCAUCUACUACUAUUACUCCACACAUCGACUGCUAUCCAGCAUGCAUCUAGAGUAUCAAGUUCAUAAAGAACGGAGUAACGCCUUAAGCAAGAUGACAUGAUGUUGACAAAUUAAACUCAAGCAAUAUGAAUAAACCCCAUCGUUUUACCCUUAAUGGCAACAAUAAAACUACGUGUCUUGUCCCCUUUUAUCACUAGGGCAUAGAUCACUGCAAGAUUGAACCCAUCACAAAGCAACUUCCCAUUGCAAGAUAAAUCAAUCUAGUUGGCCAAACCAAAUCAAUAGAUUGGAAUGAAAUACAAAGCUAUAAUAUUCAUGAAUAAAAUAGUUCAGAGAAGACUCAAAUAAUAUUCAUGGAUAAUCCGAUCAUAAACUCACAAUUCAUCGGAUCCCAACAUACACACCGCAAAAAUUUAUUACAUCGAAUAGAUCUUCAAGAAUAUCGAGGAGAACAUUGUAUUGAAGACCAGAGAGAGAGAGAAGAAGCCAUCUAGCUACUAGCUAUGGACCCAUAGGUCUAUGGUAAACUACUCACACAACAUCGAAAGGGCAUCAAGGUUGAUGUAAAGCCCCUCCAUGGUCGAUUCCCCCUCUGGCAGAGUACCGAAAAAGGCCUCCAAAUGGGAUCUUGCGAGAACAGAAACUUGCGGUGAUGGAAAAAGUAUUUCGGGUGGCUCUAUGAUGUAUGGGGAAUAUUUGAGAAUUUAUAGAGGCGGAAUUAGGUUAAGAGGUGCCGCGAGGGACCCACAAGCCUAGGGGGCGCGCCUCCUGAGCUUGUCGCUCCCUCGUGGCUCGUCGGGUCUUCUUCCGAACCUUCUAGGGUCCCUUCUGGUCCAGAAAAAAUUAAUCUAAAGUUUUUUCUCUGUCUGGACUCUGUUUGAUAUUGAUUUUCUGAAAAUCCAAAAACACGCAAUUGGCACUGGAGGUUAGUCCCAAAAAAUGAUAUAUAAUUGCAUAUAAAACAUCCAAGAUUGAUACUAUAAUAGCAUGGAACAAUAAAAAAUUAUAGCUAGGUUGGAGACGUAUCAACUCCCGCAACCCAUCAUCUACAAACUAAUUCCACAAUGCCUUCCCCUAGGCCCAAACAUGGUGAAGUGUCAUGUACUCAACAUUCACAUGACGCGACUAGAGGAAGAACAACAUAACACAUCUUCAAAACAUUGAACGGAAACCACUUCUCUUAUGUCCUCAAGAACAAAUAAAACUACUCACAAACCAUAUUCAUGUUCAUGAACAAAGGAGAUAAAUAAGUGGUUAGGGUUUUUAGGGUUUUUAGGAGAUAAAUAAGUGGUUAACAAUCUGAAAAUAUAAUCUUCCACCAAGUAAACCAACUAAUAUCAACUACAAGAUAUAAUCAACAGUACUAGCACCCCCAUGUACCAAUUUGAGGUUUGAUACAAAAAUUGAAAGCAAGGGAAGAACUAGGGUUUGGAGAUGGGAUGAUGCUGGUGAAUAUGUUGAUGAAGAUGAAGUCUACCAUGAUGAGGGGAGUGUUGGUGAUGACGAUGGCUUCGAUUUCCCCCUCUCGGAGGAAAGUAUCCCCUGCGGAAUCGCUCUAUGGGAAAGCAAAAGUGCUUCGCCUCUAGUUUCACCUCGAGACAACGAUGACUUGUCCUGAAAGUCUUAUUUUAUUUUUUCCUAGGGUAAAUAACUUCAUAUAGGGGAAGAUGGGCUGUAGUGGAUCUCUGUGGGGCCCACAAGCCACCUAGGCAUGCCCUGGGGGUAGGGCGCAUCAUCUGGCUAUUGGGAAUCGUUGCAUGGAAAAACAAAAAAAAAC
rnacentral:lncRNA from 1 species